AGCCUGUGCUUUAUAGAGGUAAUUGUGCACAAGGAUGACACCAGUAAGGAGCUUCUUGUGUGGGGAGCUAGGCUUUUCGCCGCAAAUAACCGCCCGCCGAACCCUCAGUGAACACACCAGGUCUCUACAAGAUGCUCAUCCAGCUUAAUGAGGUCAUGUGAAAGCUCACGUGUACUGAACUCUGAAUAAAUCCUCCAUUUGAGUCCACUGAACUCUGAAUAAAUCCUCCAUUUGAGUCCACUGCUGUCGCAAGUGCAAGUGCUCAUGGUUACUGUAUGUAGGUGUUUUCAGUUCAGGAACUGGUACUUGUAUUACCUAAAUAAACCUGAAAUCGAUGAUGUGGCCAGCGAAAGACGCUCUUGAGUUUUGUCAUCUUUCUCGAGUUAUUCCAACUGACAGAAGUUUCAGACUUGCUGUGCUUUUCAAAGGCACACGUUAGACAUUAGCAAGAAGAAGAAAGCUGUGCUUCUGGAAUCUGAAGAAGAUUUGAUUAUGUAGUGAAGUAGCAGAGUAAUUCAAAAUGGUGCACCUGGUGGACAAAUCUCUAAGAUGGACAAUUUCCUUCUUUGAUACGGCCGGAGAACUCCAUUCUUGCUCCAGACAUCUUCAUCAUCGAUAACACUUGCAGAAAACACCACCACUCACAAGUCACAUCGCGUGAUGUGCAUUUCGGUAAAACCUAAGGAUGUAUCUCGACUUGAACCUUACACUAAUAUUAAUAAUUUAGGGGUGCGGCGGGGUGAGGCGGGUGGGUUUCGGCGGCGGCGGGGUGCGGGCGUGAGUGGCGGCACGGCAGUCGCACGUGGGUAGGUGAAAAUGAAAGUUGGGCGAUUGGGCUUUUGCGCCGCCGGUUGUGUUUUUGCUCGAGCGUGGCUGGUGAUUUUUACAUCACGAAGAAAACUCGAGUAAUUUUUUUACAUCUUCAUCAUCGGUUGCAGCAUCGUUUUUUUAGGCAACCUGGCAAAGCUUUAUUCAAACCGUCACAAUGUUAAAAGGGACGAAGAAGAUUAGCCGGGUGGCCCCUUCAUCAUUUUUACAUCAGGCUGGUGAAGGUGAGAUUAAGUGGGAGCGGGACUAAUUACCACAUCCCCCUUAAUUUUUUUAGUGGGCUCCCAUUGGAAAGAAAAAAAAAUCAAGCUAGCCCACUUAUCCCAUUGACCUUGCCCUAUUAGCUAGACAUCGACCCUGGUAGGUUGUGCCUAGAUGAGUAGAGAGAGGGUGGUGCCACAACUUGCUCCCGCCGCCGCCGUCUGCCAUCGCGCCCCUGCUUCUACCUCCUCACACCAUGCCACCCCCGGCGGCCUCCUCAUCACCGAGGCCACUCGCGUCACGCCGGCUGUCACAUCCCUAGCUUCUGGUGCUGCCUGGUGUUUGCAUCAUGUUUAAUUUUGAAACUUGAACUGAGGGAAAUUGGAAGCCUCAAAACCCUAAAUAAAAGAAGGGCAAAAACCCUAAAAAUCUCAUUCAUUGUUCCAAAAUGCUCUUCUUAAAUGUUUGAUAAUUUUUGGCAAGGGUUCUGGUCCCAACCAAAAUAUUGAACAUUUUUAAGGAUUUAUUUUUGGGACUUUGAAUUUAAUUCAUUAACUAUUUGAAUUUGAAUUAUAUUCAUAUAAUUAGAAUAUAAUUUCAAAUAUCCCUGAAAUAUUUUAUGAGCUUUUGGAAAAGUCCAUCUAGCAAAAUAAAAAUAUUCAGAGGAGCCUUUGGCAUUGUUUGAAUUAUUUUAAAUUCAAAACAGUGGUAAAAGAAUUAAAUAAAAGAAAACAGAACAGGAAUAUAAAAAAACAGGAGAGAGAGGAAGCCUACCUGGGCCACUUACCCGCAGCCCACCUAGCGCCCCACCUGGCCCAGCGAUGCGGCUGAGGCCCAGCCCACCUCCUCCUCUUUGUCGUCUUCCUCCCCCUCGCCCCGAAGCUGCUCGGUGGCGAGCGCCGACGCCGCCCCGGCCACCUCCUGCUUCCCCUGGCCACCUCAUGCUUCCUCCCCGAGCCCUCUAGCGACGCCACGGAGUCGUCCCCGACCGCUAUCCCUUCUCUCUGCUCGCUCUGGCUCUCUCCCUCUCUCGAUUUGGAGCACCACCGAGAGCCACCGGAGGGCGCCGCCGUCGCAUCCAUAGCCACCGGCCACCCCUCGCCCUUCCGAUGAGCUCAGGAGCUCCGUCCCGACCCCAUGGAGCUGCACACCGACACACGCGACCAGAGGAGGCCCCAGUCGACCGGAGCGUCGUCGUCUUCAUCCCCGGUGCCCGGAGAUCGCCGCCGUAAAUUCGCCGUCGCAGAAGCUUCCCCGAGCUCGCCGACCCCUCCGUCCAGUCCACUGUGAGCCCCUCUUCCACUUCCCCCUUCUCUCAAGCUCGCGCUCAUCCCCUAGCCUCUUCCUCCACCGCGGCCGAGAGUUUCUCGCCGCCGGCCAUGGCGUGGCCAUGGCCACAGCCACCGCAGCUCGUUUCCGAGCCCACUGUCGUGCUCACCGCGAUCUCAGGAGUCCGUAGCACGCCCCAGCUCCUCCUGCCGUGCUCCCUAACACCGACCCCGAGCUCGCCCGAGCUCCGGCCGCCGCCGAGGUCGACGUCGUGCUCAACUCCGGCCACCUCCGCUCCAGCCGCCUCCACCACUGGAAGCGCCACUCCGCCAGCUCCCCGUAGAUGCUCCCCGCGCCCCAAACCAUGGCCUGUAAUGCAAUCCCGAUGCGGACGCCGCCGCGAUCUGAGGUCGCCGGCGGUUAAACGCCGGCAGCUGACGUGGCGAUGUCAUUAAACGCUAAUGACGCACUAACCAACCCCCUAGGCCACUGACUGUGGGCCCCACCCCUGGUCAAACCCCAGUCAGCGUUGGGUUUGACCGGGAUUAGGUCCUGUGUCACUGACGUGUGGACCCCGCACGUCAGGUUUGACCUGGACCUGGCCGUUGACUCGCUGACGUCAUGCUGGCGUCAGGCUGACGCAGCUAAAUCAUUUUCUGGAAUUAUUUUAAUUCUAAAUAUUCAGGAAAUUUCAGAAAAUGAUUAAAACUUCAAUAAAUCAUAGAAAUUCAACCGUAACUCCAAAUUAAAUAAUUUAUAUAUGAAAAAUUAUCAGAAAAAUUCAAGGAAUCCAUCUAUACCAUUUUCAUGCAUGUUAGAACAACUUAUAGCUGCUGUUUAGCACAAAUCAAUUAAUGGCAUUUGAAUAAUCACAUAUGGAGUUUGAAUUUGAAUCUUGUAUUCAAACCAACUUCAUUUAAUCUGUUGCUAGUUGCAUUAGCUCAAAACACAUUCAUAUUGCCAUGUCAUGAGCAUGCAUCAUAUUGUGCAUUGCAUUGAUUGUAUUUCUUCUUUGUUGCCGGUAUCUGUUCCCUCCCGGUAGACGAUGUUCCGACGUUGUGAUCGUUGACACUGAUGAAGACUCAAUGUUAUCUUCAGAAGUGCCAGGCAAGCAAAACCCCCUUGUUCAUUCCGAUAAAAUCCCACUCUCUCGCUCCUGCUCUCUUUUACUGCAUUAGGACAACAACGAUUCAUCUGUUACUUGCUGCGGUAGCUGAACCCCUUUAUCCUUUGCAUGACCUGUCAUUCCACAGUAAAUAGAUGAAACCCACUAGUAUGAGUAGGAGUUGUUUGAGCCCUGUUGUGCCUACUCAUUCUUACUUGUUUGUCAUGCCUGCUACUGCUUAGAGUUGUGUCAGGUCUGAUUCAUCGGGAAUGAAUCUGAGGUGUGUGAACAUGUCCUACCAUUGAGAGCUAAGUGUGUGAACACGAUUUGGUAAAGGUAGCGGUGAGAGGCCAUGUAGGAGUACAUGGUGGGUUGUCUCAUUGCAGCCGUCCUCAGGAACUGAGUUCUGUGUUUGUGAUCCAUGAUUCAGCUACUACCACGCAUUGGGCCUGAAACCAAUGGACCCUCUCGGCUUCUUAAUCACCCUUGUCCUCUGUCCAGGAGUUGCAAGUAGUUUCUGGUGUUUGUAGUAUGCUGGAGGCCGUGCGCAGCGCUGACCGUAGGGGUGGGCUGUGAUGCGGUAGGCACGUGGCACGGUGUACCGGGCGCCCGUUUGGUGUCUCGGGAACCCUGUUCACAUCAUUUGGGGCUGUGAGCGAAACUCUGGCCGGAUCUCCUCAUGGAUGGAACCCGAAUAGGCGAUAAACCUGGACUAGAGACUUGAGUGUUUAGGCAGGCCGUGGCCGACACCCACGUUGGGCUUCCGCUUGAAGGUUGCCGAGUACAUGUCGUGUAAACGGCGGUAAGUGGUGAGAGCGUGUGUGAAGAAGUACACCCCUGCAGGGUUAACAUCAUCUAUUCGAAUAGCCGUGUCCGCGGAGAAGGACUUCUGGGUUGCUUAUAUCAGUUCAUAGACAAGUGAAAGUGGAUACUCUAAAAUACGCAAGAUAAGCGUGAGUGCUAUGGAUGGUGUUCUCGUAGGGAGACGGGAGCGGAUCCAUAGCGGUGUAUUGAUAUGGUGAAUAUGUGGACUCGUGUGCGCCACCUCAAAAGAGUUACAUUGCAGUCGUAGUUCAGGAUAGCCACCGAGUCAAAGCUGGCUUGCUGCAGUUAAACCCCACCAUCUCCUUUGUUGAUAAUGAUGCAUAUGUAGUUAGUUCUGAUGUAAGUCUUGCUGGGUACAUUUGUACUCAUGUUUGCCUAUUUUAUGUUUUGCAGAGAGACUUCGGUCUCACUAGUAGUUCCACGUGGACUUCGACGUUUAGCUUGUUACCUCAGCUACGAUCUUGUGCCCUUGGCAGGAUCUGGUAGAUAGUCAGGCUUUCAAGCCUUUUUCAUUUAUAGAUGUCUGUACUCAAACAUGAUAGCUUCCGCAUGUGCUUUGACUUGUAUGCUCUGAUUGUUGGGUCAUGAGACCUAUGUUUGUAAUAUCUCGCUCCUCGGAGCCUAUUGAUUAAAUACUUGAGUCUUAGAGUCAUGUUGUGAUGCCAUGUUGUAUUUGCACAUAUUGAGCAUAUUGUGUGUAUGUUAUUGAAAUGCUUGGUAUGUGUGGGAUCUGACUAUCUAGUUGUUUAUCCUUAGUAGCCUCUCUUACCGGGAAAUGUCUCCUAGUGUUUCCACCGAGCCAUGGUAGCUUGCUACUGCUCCAGAACACUUAGGCUGGCCGGCAUGUGUCCUUCUUCGUUCCUGUGUCUGUCCCUUCGGGGAAAUGUCACGCGAUGAAUACCGGAGUCCUACUAGCCCAGUGCUACAGCCUGGAUUCACUCGCUGAUGACCGACACGUUCGAUGCUGGGUCAUGGAUGCCUGUCCCUGUAAGUUUGUGCCACUUUGGGUUUACGACUAGCCAUGUCAGCCCGGGCUCCUUAUCAUAUGGGUGCUAGCGACACUGUCAUAUACGUGUGCCAAAAGGCGCAAACGGUCCCGGGUAAAGGUAAGGCGACACCCGUGGGAAUACCGUGCGUGAGGCCGCAAAGUGAUAUGAGGUGUUACAUGCUAGAUCGAUGUGGCAUUGAGUCGGGGUCCUGACAGCGUUGGUAUCAGAGCUUGACUGCCUGUAGGAUUACCAAGCCAAACCGGUCGAAGUUGAGUCUAGAAAUUCUUUAGUUAUAUAAGGGAAUUGAUUGUGGGAUGGAACGUAAGGCUCUUUUUACUCCUUAUACCUUAUGCCUUCUGAUCUGAGUCAUCUUAUCUUUCCUGCGGGGUUAAGGAACUAGACUUUCUCUUCUUUCUAUCAGGAUCACGUGUUACUAAUCCGUAGACUUAUAAGAUGGUUGGAUUUAAGCUUGAGUUCAGUUCCUACGACUUCUGUAUGUUAACUAUUGAUCUCGAAACCUUGAUAUUGUGCUUCUGAGUGGUUAUGCCACCAUUUUUGUGAAUGUCUCAAAUCUUUUCUGAGCAUUUACAGCCAUUAUGCUAUCCGAGUCAUCCCAGGUUUCUAAACAGUCUGAUGCAUUUGCAAAUUCCUUCCUUCCGUUUCGAUGUUCCUUUGGGCCAGAUUAACCACACUAAUCGGUGAGUUGAGGUACUCUGUUGCCUUGACAUAUAUGUUGGAGAUAGUAUUAUGACCCUAAGUGUCUUAGGGGAUCAUCUAGUGGUCUAGCCAUGAUCUAUGUUUCCAGUGUGAUGAGUCUGGCCUUUAUUCUCGAAAGCAUCCCGUGAUGCCACUUAGUAGUAGGCAUUCUACUCCUGGGUUCUGAACCCGAGAUUCACUCUACUUACUUCAUGUUGAUAGUGUUUGCUAGCUCCCUUAGGUUAUUAGUAACCUUUGCGAUAGUCCUCGAGGUCCGUGGUAUUUCCUUCUUCCAAAUACCAUGAACCAUUCAGGCAGAAGUUAUUGGAUCAAAGGAUCACAAUUAGAGUACUCUUGAGGAGUUCUCCAUUCAUAAAUCGUGACUCUGCCAGUCCUACCUCUCUGCAUGGGUUAUCCGGAAGAAACAUGUUGAACUUCGUUCGACAUACUAGUCCAUGCAUCCACAACUCAGAAAAAAAACAUAUGUUCUUUUGAGUUGUCCCCCUUUAGUUGUCUUUUGACCGUCGUCUAUCAAUUGAUAGUCAAGAGUAUGCGUGCGUUCAUUCAUCGAUGCCUAUCACUCUUGUGGUCCGUUAAGCCAUUCUAUUCCGGAAUGACUAGGAGAAACAAACUCCAGUACCUCAUCCGUAUCCAGGAUCGGGUCAAAGAAGUUGUAUUUCGCAGAUCAAAUGCCAAUCCAGCUUUUGGUUCUGUUCUACCUUGGAGUAUUACCAUCUUUAUAUCGGGAUUGUUAUAGGAAUUGCACACCACCCUAUGAACUCUUGGUACAGUGAUACUUCUUGCCAUCGUUGUUCAUUCCUUGGUUCCUGUGUUAUUGUAACCGGAAUGUCGACAAGUGAAUCGUGAUGUGUGAAAUCAAUACUCCUAGCAACCUCGUUGCUUGGUAGUUAAAGGACAAUAACCUCAUUUUUAACGUGUUGGUUCUUGAAUCAUCAUUCUAAGAUUGAUCGUGCUACCUUGUCCAUCUUCUUGGUGCACAUUUCGAUUGAUGAGUUAGGAUUUUGUCAAGUCCUCACUCAUUUGAUCAUGUCGUCUUGCCCUCAAAAGCAAGAUUGUCCUCAAGCUUAGUAACAUAACGGUGGUUCGUGACUUUCCAAAUAUCUUCUUGGAAGUAUUACCGGGUUGUUUCCUGACUGUUAUGUUGAGCUCGUGAUCAAGUUGGUUUCUUGUGAACCACCCUCUCUCCAAGAAUCUGUGUUAGAUAUCCCUGAGCUAGUUGGUUAAGCUAGACAACAACUUGGAGAGUUGGAAGAUAAAAGCUUGCCUGACUUAGUUCGUUCCAAAGGGAUAUUCUUGUGUAGUGUGUGUUGAAGAAAGAUGAUAUUUUCAUCGACUGACCCUCGUGAUCAGUUAAUGGACCUAUCAUCUUGUCCAACCUUUGAUUUGGGUGUGGGCUAUCGUCAAAUCAAAUCAGAACCAAUGAUGUUCGUAAUAUUGUCUUACUCGUGGAUUUUCCUCGAGCAUACACCAUUACAUCUUUUGGUUUGACCAAUGCUAUCACCUUGUUCACCAAGUCGUGGAAUUCCAUCUUCAUGGAAAUCUCGAUGAUUUGUUGUUGAGCCCAUCAACAUCAUUUUAUCUUCUCCAAGAUCUUGUUGGACAAUAAGUUAGUGUUGGAAACUUUUGAAAACAUUUUCUUCAUGCUAGCUCAUGAAGUAUUUGUUUGAUGAAAGGAGUGACUUCCUCUUAUACACGUGCAUUUGGUGAAAGUUGCCGCCGUGAAUUUGAGAAAGUUAGUUUUGCUUCCUCUGGAAUCAUCCCAAGUCAGUCAUACACAUGUGCGAAGUAUUAUGUGGUUUGGAGACUUGCAACCUCCAUUCUAUAUGUGUCCCUAGCACACCAAGUCACUGAUUGAGUUGUUCAAAGAUAAAGGAGUCUGUCCAAGGUGAACUCUUUGGACUUCCACGCGUGGAGACUUCGAUGUCAUUAAUGAUGGUUCCCAACCAGAACUCGGUAGUGUUUUAUUGUAAGACUACCAUGUGGGCAUGCUUGUCUGGGACAACGUGUUCACAUGUUUGUAGUAGAACCAGCUCAUGUUUUGGAGCUUGCUAUCGUAGUUCAUUUCCCGAGAAUCUCGCAACGUCAUCUCGUCGAUUUGUGUUGCAAACUAUCGUUUUUCUUCCUAGACUCGAUGAGUCUGGAAUAUCCUGACACCAACCAGAUCUGAAUCUCAGGCAGAUAUGAUGGUUGGAGCAUUUCCCAAGAACUAUAAUAUUGGUCCCUCGAUAACCGGUAAAGUGGAUGUCGUGGCCAACACACCCAGUCGGAAGACCUGUUAUUAUAAUAUCUUGAUUGAGGAAGUUGGCCACCCCCCCAUAGGGAUUUCGUAGGAUUUACUCCCUAGUUGCCCCUAUGGAUUUCUGUGUUCCGAAGUCCGACCUUUUACUUGAUGUUCUAGAUACCAGACCAUUUCAAGGAAUGGGAUACGCUAGUACAUCAAGGAGAACAUUAGAAGCGGAGUGCUAAAUGUCUCUCGGACGAUCAUCCAGAUUUCAUUACCUUGACCCCGCCAAGGGUGAAAUCUGAGAAAGUGUUACCUUCCUUUGCAUCUGCAUCAUCCAUCAUCAUUCAUCGUGGUAGUACGUUGUGUUGUCAGCACCCUUGACACGGAUGUUGAUAAAACCUUGAUGAUUGUGGAAAUGCUCAAGUUCUUGAGAGCACGUACAAGCGCUACGUGUUACCAUCGGCUCUAACUGGGAUUCCUCUCAGUUUCCUCGGCAAUGUUAUGACCUUUCAAACAGUGAAUUCACUCUCUAUUGUUGGGUUCUUCCCCAGUUACCAGAAUCAUUCCCAGCAUUUGCAUUUUUGUUCCCAGCUUGCACCGCCAAUGUGCCAUUCUACCAUGGGUCUCUUCCAUUUCCGGUGAUAAGCAAAAAUCAUCCAUUGCGUUGUCUUCAACAAGGUAAUCCACAUCAUCCAAGUCCGAGUAUGCCAUUCUACCGACCCCCUCCAAACGAUCGCUCGGGAAUUGCCUUAGGCUGGUUUAAAGAAUUUCAAUGAUCUCUGAAUCAAAGGUAAUUCUUUUUGCCACUUAAGGGGAGAUAUCUACGAGUCACGGUUCCGAAGGUGUCUCGUUGUGAUAUCAUGGCAACUCAACUCCUCGCUACGUUGACAAUCGUUUACCACCUUCUUAAGCGUGAAAUUGUUGUCUACCUAGUGAACCUUCGUCAUCUGCUUCACUCCAUUCCUAUGGAUGUGUGCUUCGUCUCUCAGCUCGAGAGAUGUUGCUAUGUCUCAUUCCGAGAGUUAAUCCUGAGUUGUUCGACCUUCGAGAAGAUUGAUCCUUCUAGAGUUCCCUUCUCCUCUCGUUGUCAUGUUGGUUGGAGUUCUCGGAACAAGACAUCAAGAUAAUGAUGGUGAGCGAAUCAAUGUUCAAUUGGAGUGCAACCUGGAUCAUGAAGAUUAUACUAGUUUGCGUUUCCCCUUCAUCCUACCCUACGCUUGAAUCUCGAGACGAGAUUCUUGUUUAGUGGGGGUGAGCUGUCACAUCCCUAGCUUCUGGUGCUGCCUGGUGUUUGCAUCAUGUUUAAUUUUGAAACUUGAACUGAGGGAAAUUGGAAGCCUCAAAACCCUAAAUAAAAAAAGGGCAAAAACCCUAAAAAUCUCAUUCAUUGUUCCAAAAUGCUCUUCUUAAAUGUUUGAUAAUUUUUGGCAAGGGUUCUGGUCCCAACCAAAAUAUUGAACAUUUUUAAGGAUUUAUUUUUGGGACUUUGAAUUUAAUUCAUUAACUAUUUGAAUUUGAAUUAUAUUCAUAUAAUUAGAAUAUAAUUUCAAAUAUCCCUGAAAUAUUUUAUGAGCUUUUGGAAAAGUCCAUCUAGCAAAAUAAAAAUAUUCAGAGGAGCUUUUGGCAUUGUUUGAAUUAUUUUAAAUUCAAAACAGUGGCAAAAGAAUUAAAUAAAAGAAAACAGAACAGGAAUAUAAAAAAACAGGAGAGAGAGGAAGCCUACCUGGGCCACUUACCCGCAGCCCACCUAGCGCCCCACCUAGCCCAGCGAUGCGGCUGAGGCCCAGCCCACCUCCUCCUCUCUGUCGUCUUCCUCCCCCUCGCCCCGAAGCUGCUCGGUGGCGAGCGCCGACGCCGCCCCGGCCACCUCCUACUUCCCCUGGCCACCUCCUGCUUCCUCCCCGAGCCCUCUAGCGACGCCACGGAGUCGUCCCCGACCGCUAUCCCUUCUCUCUGCUCGCUCUGGCUCUCUCCCUCUCUCGAUUUGGAGCACCACCGAGAGCCACCAGAGGGCGCCGUCGUCGCAUCCAUAGCCACCGGCCACCCCUCGCCCUUCCGAUGAGCUCAGGAGCUCCGUCCCGACCCCAUGGAGCUGCACACCGACGCACGCGACCAGAGGAGGCCCCAGUCGACCGGAGCGUAGUCGUCUUCAUCCCCGGUGCCCGGAGAUCGCCGCCGUAAAUUCGCCGUCGCAGAAGCUUCCCCGAGCUCGCCGACCCCUCCGUCCAGUCCACUGUGAGCCCCUCUUCCACUUCCCCCUUCUCUCAAGCUCGCGCUCAUCCCCUAGCCUCUUCCUCCACCGCGGCCGAGAGUUUCUCGCCGCCGGCCAUGGCGUGGCCGUGGCCACAGCCACCGCAGCUCGUUUCCGAGCCCACUGUCGUGCUCACCGCGAUCUCAGGAGUCCGUAGCACGCCCCAGCUCCUCCUGCCGUGCUCCCUAACACCGACCCCGAGCUCGCCCGAGCUCCGGCCGCCGCCGAGGUCGACGUCGUGCUCAACUCCGGCCACCUCCGCUCCAGCCGCCUCCACCACUGGAAGCGCCACUCCGCCAGCUCCCCGUAGAUGCUCCCCGCGCCCCAAACCAUGGCCUGUAAUGCAAUCCCGAUGCGGACGCCGCCGCGAUCUGAGGUCGCCGGCGGUUAAACGCCGGCAGCUGACGUGGCGAUGUCAUUAAACGCUAAUGACGCACUAACCAACCCCCUAGGCCACUGACUGUGGGCCCCACCCCUGGUCAAACCCCAGUCAGCGUUGGGUUUGACCGGGAUUAGGUCCUGUGUCACUGACGUGUGGACCCCGCACGUCAGGUUUGACCUGGACCUGGCCGUUGACUCGCUGACGUCAUGCUGGCGUCAGGCUGACGCAGCUAAAUCAUUUUCUGGAAUUAUUUUAAUUCUAAAUAUUCAGGAAAUUUCAGAAAAUGAUUAAAACUUCAAUAAAUCAUAGAAAUUCAACCGUAACUCCAAAUUAAAUAAUUUAUAUAUGAAAAAUUAUCAGAAAAAUUCAAGGAAUCCAUCUAUACCAUUUUCAUGCAUGUUAGAACAACUUAUAGCUGCUGUUUAGCACAAAUCAAUUAAUGGCAUUUGAAUAAUCACAUAUGGAGUUUGAAUUUGAAUCUUGUAUUCAAACCAACUUCAUUUAAUCUGUUGCUAGUUGCAUUAGCUCAAAACACAUUCAUAUUGCCAUGUCAUGAGCAUGCAUCAUAUUGUGCAUUGCAUUGAUUGUAUUUCUUCUUUGUUGCCGGUAUCUGUUCCCUCCCGGUAGACGAUGUUCCGACGUUGUGAUCGUUGACACUGAUGAAGACUCAAUGUUAUCUUCAGAAGUGCCAGGCAAGCAAAACCCCCUUGUUCAUUCCGAUAAAAUCCCACUCUCUCGCUCCUGCUCUCUUUUACUGCAUUAGGACAACAACGAUUCAUCUGUUACUUGCUGCGGUAGCUGAACCCCUUUAUCCUUUGCAUGACCUGUCAUUCCACAGUAAAUAGAUGAAACCCACUAGUAUGAGUAGGAGUUGUUUGAGCCCUGUUGUGCCUACUCAUUCUUACUUGUUUGUCAUGCCUGCUACUGCUUAGAGUUGUGUCAGGUCUGAUUCAUCGGGAAUGAAUCAGAGGUGUGUGAACAUGUCCUACCAUUGAGAGCUAAGUGUGUGAACACGAUUUGGUAAAGGUAGCGGUGAGAGGCCAUGUAGGAGUACAUGGUGGGUUGUCUCAUUGCAGCCGUCCUCAGGAACUGAGUUCUGUGUUUGUGAUCCAUGAUUCAGCUACUACCACGCAUUGGGCCUGAAACCAAUGGACCCUCUCGGCUUCUUAAUCACCCUUGUCCUCUGUCCAGGAGUUGCAAGUAGUUUCUGGUGUUUGUAGUAUGCUGGAGGCCGUGCGCAGCGCUGACCGUAGGGGUGGGCUGUGAUGCGGUAGGCACGUGGCACGGUGUACCGGGCGCCCGUUUGGUGUCUCGGGAACCCUGUUCACAUCGUUUGGGGCUGUGAGCGAAACUCCGGCCGGAUCUCCUCAUGGAUGGAACCCGAAUAGGCGAUAAACCUGGACUAGAGACUUGAGUGUUUAGGCAGGCCGUGGCCGACACCCACGUUGGGCUUCCGCUUGAAGGUUGCCGAGUACAUGUCGUGUAAACGGCGGUAAGUGGUGAGAGCGUGUGUGAAGAAGUACACCCCUGCAGGGUUAACAUCAUCUAUUCGAAUAGCCGUGUCCGCGGAGAAGGACUUCUGGGUUGCUUAUAUCAGUUCAUAGACAAGUGAAAGUGGAUACUCUAAAAUACGCAAGAUAAGCGUGAGUGCUAUGGAUGGCGUUCUCGUAGGGAGACGGGAGCGGAUCCAUAGCGGUGUAUUGAUAUGGUGAAUAUGUGGACUCGUGUGCGCCACCUCAAAAGAGUUACAUUGCAGUCGUAGUUCAGGAUAGCCACCGAGUCAAAGCUGGCUUGCUGCAGUUAAACCCCACCAUCUCCUUUGUUGAUAAUGAUGCAUAUGUAGUUAGUUCUGAUGUAAGUCUUGCUGGGUACAUUUGUACUCACGUUUGCCUAUUUUAUGUUUUGCAGAGAGACUUCGGUCUCACUAGUAGUUCCACGUGGACUUCGACGUUUAGCUUGUUACCUCAGCUACGAUCUUGUGCCCUUGGCAGGAUCUGGUAGAUAGUCAGGCUUUCAAGCCUUUUUCAUUUAUAGAUGUCUGUACUCAAACAUGAUAGCUUCCGCAUGUGCUUUGACUUGUAUGCUCUGAUUGUUGGGUCAUGAGACCUAUGUUUGUAAUAUCUCGCUCCUCGGAGCCUAUUGAUUAAAUACUUGAGUCUUAGAGUCAUGUUGUGAUGCCAUGUUGUAUUUGCACAUAUUGAGCAUAUUGUGUGUAUGUUAUUGAAAUGCUUGGUAUGUGUGGGAUCUGACUAUCUAGUUGUUUAUCCUUAGUAGCCUCUCUUACCGGGAAAUGUCUCCUAGUGUUUCCACCGAGCCAUGGUAGCUUGCUACUGCUCCAGAACACUUAGGCUGGCCGGCAUGUGUCCUUCUUCGUUCCUGUGUCUGUCCCUUCGGGGAAAUGUCACGCGAUGAAUACCGGAGUCCUACUAGCCCAGUGCUACAGCCUGGAUUCACUCGCUGAUGACCGACACGUUCGAUGCUGGGUCAUGGAUGCCUGUCCCUGUAAGUUUGUGCCACUUUGGGGUUACGACUAGCCAUGUCAGCCCGGGCUCCUUAUCAUAUGGGUGCUAGCAACACUGUCAUAUACGUGUGCCAAAAGGCGCAAACGGUCCCGGGUAAAGGUAAGGCGACACCCAUGGGAAUACCGUGCGUGAGGCCGCAAAGUGAUAUGAGGCGUUACAUGCUAGAUCGAUGUGGCAUUGAGUCGGGGUCCUGACACCGGCGCUGUAGGACGAGGAGUCGUCGUCGCUCAGGGACAUGCCAGGGAUCUGGGCGCCGGAGCAGUUCGAGUGUGGAAGCUCGUGGUGGACGUCAUGCAUGCCAAUGGCGUUGUCUUCUUCCGACAGCUCUGGCAUGCCACAGUCAGCGCUGGCAACGCCGUCAGGCAAAGUCAUUAGGUGAACCCCCAGAUGAGCUUUGACGGCCGUCGCGAGGAGCUCACGUCGUCGAGGAGGGUGGCGGCCAAGGACGUGCCCGGCGACAUCGACGCCUUCAGACGGGCCGCCAAGAACACCAUCGAUGCCUUUGCAUGGGCGGAGGUCAUUGUUUCUGAAAGGAUCAAUAAGAGGUGUCUAUAGGGGGGGUGAUUAGACACUCAACACACAAAGUUGGCAGUUUUUAUGUUUUUCAAGUUUGGUUGGAGUUUAAGCAUAAGUUUAACCAUUCACAAUACAAAUCAAGCAAGCAUGCAAAGAGUAUAUGAGCAGCGAAAAGUAAAGCAUUCAACUUGCAAGAAAGUAAAGGGAUGUGAUUGGAGUGUGCAAACGCAAUAGGAGACACGGAUGUUUUUGUCGUGGUUUCGAUAGGUGAUGCUAUUGUACAUCACGUUGAUGGAGACUUCAACCCACGAAGGGUAACGGCUGCGCGAGUCCAUGGAGGGCUCCACCCACGAAGGGUCCACGAAGAAGCAACAUUGUCUAUCCCACCAUGGCCAUCACCCAUGAUGGACUUGCCUCACUAGGGUAGAUUUUCACGAAGUAGGCGAUCUCCUUGCCCUUACAAACUCCUUGGUUCACUACACAAUCUUGUCGGAGGCUCCCAAGUGACACCUAACCAAUCUAGGAGACACCACUCUCCAAAAGGUAAUAGAUGGUGUGUUGAUUAUGAACUCCUUGCUCUUGUGCUUCAAAUGAUAGUCUCCCCAACACUCAACUCACUCUCAUAGGAUUGGAUUUGGUGAAAAGAUGAUGUGAGUGGAAAGCAACUUAGGGAAGGCUAGAGAUCAAGAUUCAUAUGGUUGGAUUGGAAUAUCUUGGUCUCAACACAUGAGUAGGUGGCUCUCUCUCAGAAAAUGGAUAAUGGAAGUGUAGGCACGAUCUGAUGGCUUUCCCUCACGAAUGAGGAGAGGGUGGAGGGAUAUAUAUAGCCUCCACACAAAAUCUAACUGUUACACACAUUAUACCAAACUCGGUGGGACCGAAUCAGAAAACUCGGUCGGACCGAUUCAGUACAUAUGUGACCGUUAGGCAAUUUCGGUGGGACCGAUAUGAUCAACUCGGUGGGACCGAUGUGCAAGGGUUAGGGUAAAACCUCAUCUCGGUUUGACCGAUUACACAACUCGGUGGGACUGAUUUGGUAAUAAGCAAAACAGAGAGUUGAUCAGGCAAACUCGGUGUGACCGAUUAUAUCUUCUCGGUGAGACCGAAAAUAUUGCAAUAGACAACAGAGAGUUUGCAAGCCCAUCUUGGUGAGAACGAGAUCCCAUCGGUGUGACCGAAUUGAUUAGGAUUUUUGGCAGUGGCUAUGUCAACUGAACUCGAUGGCGCCGGAUGGAUCAAAUCGGUGGGGCCGAGUUUGACUUUUGGUUAGGGACAUAGUGGAUAUGAGGAAGUGGUUGAGGGCUUUGGAGCAUAUCACUAAGCAUUUUGAGCAAGCAAGCCAUUGAGCAACACAUCAUCCCCUUUUAAUAGUAUUGGCUUUCCUAUAGACUUAAUGUGAUCUUGGAUCACUAAAAUAAAAAAUGUAGAGUCCUGAGCUUUGAGCUUGAGCAAAUCAUUUGUCCUUAGCUUCUUGAACGGGUUCCACAUCCUUUUGUCCAUGCCACUCCACUGUUGAACUUAUCUGAAAUAUACUAGAUGAAAGUAUUAGUCCAACAAGAGACAUGUUGACAUUAAUUACCAAAAUCACCCGGGGAGCACUUGUGCUUUCAAUCUCCUUCUUUUUGGUAAUUGAUGACAGCAUACAUCAAAGCUUUAGAUAAAGAUAUAAAGAAAGGCAAGUAAGGCUUUGGAAGGACAUGUAACAUGCAUAGGCUCCCCUUACAUGUAUGCAACCAUGUAAAUAUGGAACAUAGGAUCAUGUGAGUGCAUAAACAUGACAGAGCAAGCAAUGAGUUACAUGUAUCUUGGCUAUAUGCAUCAGAGCAAAUGAUGUGAACAUGGGAAAUGUACCUUCAUGCUUAUGAGUCCUUCUUGCAAACAAUAUGUACAUUAGCAAGAGAUCUUCAUGCACAUGAGUGUGAUGCAUAUACUUACCUUGUGGUCUUGAACUGGAUUUGGAAGAGAUGAACCUAAGUAAACAAGGUUAGACAACACAGAAACAUCUACUAAGCAGAGCAAGAGCAGUAAAUCACAAGAGUACCAAGAUUUGGGAUGACAUGUGUAGAGUGAGUACUUAGAUACUCUAUUGAGUGUAGACAUGUCCCCAAAGGUAAAGAUAUGCAAUGAAUUUCAAGAUUUUCUUCCCUUAGAUGUCUUGCUCCCCCUGAAUCUCAUAAUGGAUAUUAGGAGAAGAUAGGGAAUAGAAAAUCAGAGCAAAGCAAACACAAAAACAAUAUGAACAUGUCCUUCCUCUCUAAAGACAUGUAACUUCUCUUCUCUUUGAAUACCAAGAAACUGAGGUCUUUCUUUUGAAAAGAAAAAGAAUGUCUCUCUCACCCUGUUGCUCUCUCCCCCUGUUGGAGUGAUUUAGCUUUGAUGUGAACUCUCUCUCCCCCUUUGACAUCAAUUUUCAAGAAGGGUCUUCUAGAGUGUGAGUCAAAAUAGGUUUGGUCCUUGAGUCAGAGAGCAAAGCAGCACAUAAAAUAUGAUGUUGGUAGAGGAUAAGAAUCAUCGAGUGGAGCUGGAACAAAAUGUGCAGAAUGUAGUGACAGAGUGAUUUCUCAGCAUUUAAAUCGCCUGCUCCGAGUUGAUUCCUUCGGUGGCACCGAGAAGUUUCGGUUUGACCGAAAGAGGAUAGUCGGUUUGUCCGAGUUCAUCUCAGAGAAAAUGCACUAGUCACCUUAGCUCACUAAGCAAAUAAGAUCUCAUAAGAAUUUCCAGGGAAUUAUCUAAAGGAUUUGCAAAGAAUUGGGUGCAGAGAAAUGCAGAACAGAAGUAAAAGAGAAUAAGUCUAGAUGAAGUUCUUUUAAAGAGGAACAAAUAUGCAUGAGACAAAAUGCAAUAACAAGGAGAAACACUAGAGAACUUCAUCUAGAAUAGGUCGGCGACAAAGUCACCUAUGUUAGAGUAUAUUGACUUAGGAGUCAAGUGAGGACACUUGAUCAUAGGCCAUACUCAUCGUUUAAGCUCAAAAUGGGGUUGCCAUUUUUCAUUUAAGCAUCUUGAUGUAUUCACAUCUUGUUGAGUUGCUUUGACCUAUGACUUGGGGUAAAGCUUCUCUAAGAUGGAAUAACAUACCUUGGGUGAUGGUGUUUGAACUUGAUCAUGUAGUUGAACUUGUGUGGGAUGCUCAAUGUUGAUGUAGUUCAUUUGGAGCACCACUUGUAAUUGGAGUUCAUCUACCUACAUGGAUUAGAUUUACAAGGAAAAGCACUUGUGUAUCCAAAAUGACAAUCAUGAAAUUUGAUAUAGGAAUUUGUCAAAGGAUAUAUUUGAAGGGUUUUAUGCUUCCUUGUCUUCAACCACCGUAAAGUAGAGACUUGGUGAUGUAGAGAUUGCUCAAGAUGUGAAUGAGUUGCAAUCUCAUAGAUUUAGAUCCAUCCAAGUACCUACAUGGGUUAGGUAACAUGCAAGGGUGCAAAUAGAUCCAAGAUAUGUGAUCAUCAUCAUGAGAGAAAUAUCAAGGAUAAGUCAUAGGCUCAUGUCUUGCAUGUAUCCCAAUGGAGUUCCUACUCCAAGUUUGAGGCAUCAAUGAUGUUCAAUUCACCUCUCAACCUGCAAAACACUUUCUCAUUAAGUGGUUUAGUGAAUAUAUCCGCCAAUUGCUUGUCGCGUGAACAUGCUUAAGGUUAAUAUCACCCUUAGCAACAUGAUCUCGAAUGAAAUGAUGAAAAACUUCAAUGUGCUUAGUUCGAGAGUGUUGUACGGGAUUGUGAGCAAUCUUAAUAGCACUUUCAUUGUCACAAAGCAAAGAAACAUGUUUCACAUAUAUCCCAUAAUCUUUAAGAGUUUGGGUCAUCCAAAGUAAUUGAGCACAACAUGAACCAGCGGCAAUGUAUUCCGCUUCGGUGGUGGAUAAGGAUACCGAGUUUGUUUCUUGGGACAGUCGGGGAGGACAAGAUGUAUGGCUGGACUUGAUAGCCAAACGCCCAGUAGCCACUGAAUGCCAGUGUCUAGUAGGACAUGACAAUAUACUGUUGGAAAUUAGCACACAAAAUGAAUGAUAGAAAUCUAGACUAUUUUUCACACUGAUGACAACUCACAAGCCAUGCUUGUGUCAAUAGAUAGGAUGUAUUCUGUUGGGUUUAUUUUCAAUUUAACACCAUUUUCUAUUGGCAGGUAUGAAUGUCAGCUGCAAUAUGGAUCAAUUGGUUGGUCGGUCGGGGCUACUCUGGGAUAUGCGCAGGCUGCUAAGGAUAAGCGAGUCAUUUCCCUCAUUGGAGAUGGCAGCUUUCAGGUACAAAAACGAAAUCAGAAUCACCAAACCUUCUAUCUUAUUUUAUAUUUAAAGAUUUUCAAAAUAUAUACUGCUCUCCCCGUUCCAAAAUAGAUGACUCAACUUUGUACUAACUUUAGUAUAAAGUUGGGUCAUCUAUUUUGGAACGGAGGGAGUAUGUAGCUAACAAUUUUGUCGUUGGACUGGUAUAUAGGUGACGUCACAAGAAGUGUCGACGAUGCUCCGGUGGGGACAGAACAACAUCAUCUUCCUCAUAAACAACGGGGGUUACACCAUCGAGGUGAAGAUCCACGACGGUCCUUACAAUGUCAUCAAGAAUUGGAACUACACCGGCUUGGUGAAAGCAUUCCAUAAUGGCGAGGGAAAAUGCUGUACUGCAAAGGUUGGUGACGCAAUUAAUUGCAGAAUGUAUUUAUAUACGGCCAAAAGAUUUUCUAAAACACCGCAUUGCGACGACAUUUCACACCUGUGUCUGUAUAGGUUCAAACGGAGGAGGAACUGGAGGAGGCAAUUGAGGCAUCCCUAGGACCUCACAAGGACAGCCAGUGCUUUAUAGAGGUAAUUGUGCACAAGGAUGACACUAGUAAGGAGCUUCUUGUGUGGGGAGCUAGGCUUUUCGCCGCAAAUAACCGCCCGCCGAAUCCUCAGUGAACACACCAGGUCUUUACAAGAUGCCCAUCCAGCUUAAUGAGGUCAUGUGAAAGUUCACAUGUACUGAACUCUGAAUAAAUCCUCCAUUUGAGUCCACUGAACUCUGAAUAAAUCCUCCAGUUGAGUCCACUGCUGUCGCAAGUGCAAGUGCUCAUGGUUACUGUACGUAGGUGUUUUCAGUUCAGGAACUGGUACUUGUAUUACCUAAAUAAAUCUGAAAUCGAUGCUGUGGCCAGCUAAAGACGCUCUUGAGUUUUGUCAUCUUUCUCGAGUUAUUCCAACUGACGGAAGUUUCAGACUUGCUGUGCUUUUCAAAGGCACACGUUAGACAUUAGCAAGAAGAAGAAAGUUGUGCUUCUGGAAUCCGAAGAAGAUUGGAUUAUGUGGUGAAGUAGCAGAGUAAUUCAAAAUGGUGCACCUGGUGGACAAAUCUCUAAGAUGGACAAUUUCCUUCUUUGAUACGGCCGGAGAACUCCAUUCUUGCUCCAGACAGGUUCAUCCUCGAAACACUUGCAGAAAAUACCAACCCUCACAUCACGUGAUGUGCAUUCAGGUAAAAUCUAAGGAUGUAUCUCGACUUGAACCUUACAUUAAUAGUAUAAUUUAGGGGUGCGGCGGGGUGAGGCGGGUGGGUUUCGGCGGCGGCGGGGUGCGGUGCGGGCGUGAGUGGCGGCACGGCAGUCGCGCGUGGGUAGGUGAAAAGGAAAGUUUAGGGUCGGUUGGGCUUUUGCGCCGCCGUUUGUGUUUUUGCUCGAGCGUGGCAGGUGAUACAAAUUUACAUCAAGUGAGAAGACUUGAGUAAUUUUUUUUACAUCUAUAGCAGCAGUUGCAGCAUCGCCUUUUUUAGGCAACCUCGCAAAGCUUUAUUCAAACCGGCACAAUGUUAAAAGGAACGAACAAAAGAUCACCCAGGUGGCCCCUUCAUCAUUUUUACAUCAGGCUGGUGAAGGUGAGAUUAAGUGGGAGCGGGACUAAUUACCCCAUCUCACUUAUUUUUCUUUAGUGGGCUCCCAUUGAAAAGAAAAAAUAAUAAUCAGGCUAGCCCACUUAUCCCAUAGGGAGCCCAUCUUGCCCUAUUAGCUAGACAUCGACUCUGAUAGGUCGUGCCCAAAUGAGUAGAGAGAGGGUGGUGCCACAGCUUGCUCCCGCCGCCGCCGUCUGCCAUCGUGCCCCUGCUUCUUCCUCCUCACACCAUGCCACCCCCGGAGGCCACCUCAUCACCGAGGCCACUCGCGUCACGCCGGCGCUGCAGGACGAGGAGUCGUCGUCGCUCAGGGACAUGCCAGGGAUCUGGGCGCCGGAGCAGUUCAAGCGUGGAAGCUCGUGGUGGAUGUCGUGCAUGCCAAGGUGGGUUGCUCUCAAAACGACAAAAGCCGUAAACUAACUCUGAGCAGCCACCAAUUUAUGGUGUAGGGGGUGGGCUAUUUAUAGCCACAAGGAAACCCGACCUGGUAUGUCCGAAAUGACCCUGGGUCACUAAGGAACUGACACGUGUUCCAACGGUUAGAUUUCAAACACACACGGCAACUUUACUUGGGCUACAAGCAAAGCUGACUCAUCCAGCUCUGGAUAAGAUUUGCUCUCAUUGUCUUCGCUCGAAGACAUAGGAUUUGGGUUGAGCAUCACUUCAGUCACUCUGACUUAGUUUACUUGGACCCCACUUAACAGUACGGUGGUUCCUAUGACUCAACAAAGAAGAAGAGGAAACAAUGAAACCACACAGUCUUCGCGCUCCAUAGUCUUCACGCAAUGUCUUCUCAUGUCAUAGUCUUCAAUAUGAAUAUCUUCUCAUACCACCAUUGUCUUCAAUGUCUUCAUACAUUUUCAGGGGUCAUCUCCGGUAGGUAAACCGAAUCAAUGAGGGACACGACCUGCGUUAUCCUGCAAUUCUCACAAACGCAUUAGUCCCUCAACCAACUUUGUCGUCAAUACUCCAAAACCAACUAGGGGUGGCACUAGAUGCACUUACAAUCUUCCCCUUUUUGGUGAUUGAUGACAAACUGGUUGAAGUUUUCAACGGGGAUAAAGUAUGUGAAAUUGUAAAGGAUAGGAAAUUGUCUUCAUAAGUAGCAAGGGCUCCCCCUAAAGAUGUGCAUAUAAGUAAUUUUGCUUUUGGAAUGCAAAUGCACAUGGCAGGUUGUACUUGUGGAGAUCCACUUCAACUUAUGAAGAUAAUUCAUCAUGCAUGAAAUGAUAUAGCAUAUAGGAUGACAUGCAUAAUGAAAAAUGGACGUCUGCAGGAUAAUCUAAGUGCAGAAGUUAUCAUCGCACAUGCGGAAUUUAUCAUCGCAUCACAGUAAAGCAAAUAAGUAGCAGACGGCCAUCAAGUUUAGGUGUUACAACUCAAAGAACCAAAUGUUUUAAAAAGCAAGAGUUGUAAGCACGAGGCAAAAAUAUAAUGCAACCGUCCAUAUGAACCCGCUUGAAGACUAUCAAACUCAUACGCUUCUCCCCCUUUUGUCAGUAAUGACCAAAAAGGUUUGAAGACAUAGAGCAUCUACUCAUCCUCAUGAGGAGUAGUUGAAGUAGCAGGGUUGUCGUUGUCGUUUGGCGGUGCAGACGAACUUGGUGCAGUGUUGAUGCAUGCAGAAGUAGGAGGUGGUGAAGUAGCAUCAUCUUCGUCAUCGAUCACUCUGGCAUUGAUAGUUGCCGCGGAGGAAGAAUAUUCAGAGUCUUCAAGAGAUGGAGUACGACGUAGGACAGCAGUCCGUGGAGGAGUGGAGUCAAACUGGAAUCGUUCAUUGAAGCCAUCGUCUUGAAGAUAUGCUUCAGCACUAAGCAGGGUCAGGCUCUUCCAUGAUCGCCGACAAGUUUCAUGAGCAAAAAAGGCAUUCUUGGUGGCAAGGUUGCGAAUGCGAUUUACAUCCACCAAGAGGCUUUGCAUCUGUCUUUUGAGCCAAAAGUGAUGUUUAUCCUGUUUCUGAUGAAGGGCCACAAGAAGUUCUCGGUCAUUGAGAACGCGAGAACGCUUCCGAGGCCUUUGGGCAAUGGUGCUUUCAGUGGCUUCAGUAGGUGCUCGAUGAGGCAGACGAGUAUUUCCAGCCAAUGGAUAGAUUCAUGUUACUGCUUGAACACCUUCAAUGGGUUGAGUGAAGCUUUGGUGCUCGGCAUUCUGAAGACACAGAGGCUUCUUGGCAGGUUCAGGGUAUAUAGCUUCAACUGACAUAUCAAUCUCUGGUAGAAAAAUCACAUGAUUGCGAGCAGAAGGUUGAUAGUUGACAGAUGAGUGUCGCUUGAUGAGGCGCAUGACCCAUGGAGCAUAAAACUUCAGACCAAACAGAUCCGAUCCAGAUGCAGCCAGUUGCCUGAUGAAGAAUUCUUGCGCAUUGAAGCUGAUGCCAUUGAGAAUGUAGAAGACCAAAGUCUUCAUAGCUCCUUCAAGCUUUGCCGCCGAUGAAUGUCCUUUGAUAGGCCAUAGAGUUCGCCUGAUGAUGUGAUAUAUGGUGCGUGGCAGAUACUCAAGGUCUUCAACAAAGAACUCCGUUGGAUAUUCAGCAUCACGUGGCAAAGGCUUCAUCAUGCUCAACAUCUGACAUUGCGGUGAUUUUGACAACCAGGUUCAUAGAGUUCUUCGGGAGUGGAUAGGCCUGUAAGCUCAAUGAUGUUGAGAGCUUUGGCUUCAUGAUGAACAUUUCCUGUCAUCCACUCUAGAAUCCAUGUCUUGAUAUCUGUGUUGUAGCCGCGAAUGUGUAGAGUAGCAUAGAAUUGAAGCAAUAGCUCUUCAUUCCAUUGUUCUUUAUCUGUGACAAAACUGAGUAGCCCAGCAUCACGAAAGCAGUCAAGUGCUUCUUCUAAGCAGGGUAGUCCAGUAAUGGCUUUAGUGUCGAGGCGCAUAUGAGGGAAAAUGCGCCCUUGAACAUACAGAACACAGGAGUAAUAGCUUCGCUGCUGAUGACUCCAGAACCGAUCUGAUGAUAUUCUUGGCUUCGUGUAGGGGUUCUUUGAGCUGUCAAAGAAUGUGUUGUGGCUCUUGAAGCCAUUUGCAUUGAAAGACCUUGGUGAGUUUGCAGUACCUGGAAACCUUGGUAGUCUUGGCUUGGGCUUCUGGACCUGAGGCCUAUGCUCAAUGUGAUAGUCAAACUGAGGACCAGAGACAUUAGGCGGAGGGACCAGAACGGGCCAUCUUACUGUGAUUAGCUCGCCAUGGUUGUAUGCUUGCUCGAUUGUGUAGGGCAUUGGUGGCGGAACAGGAGCAAUGGCAGCAACUGAGGCUUCAGGCUGCACAACAGGUGCUUCAGGAGCAGUUGCCUCAUUAGCUUCAGGUGCAGUGGCCUCAUUAGCUUCAGGAGCACUGGUUGGUUCAAGCUCCACAUCAGCGUCAGCCAUGACAGCGUCAUCGGCUUCAUUGUCGUUGGUCGUGGCAGCUUCAACAUUUUCAACCUCCACUUGCUGAGCUGGAGGGUCAGGCACAGAUACUUUCACAUCGUGAACAACUUCUUCAGGAAUGGGGGUGUAGAGACACGUUCUUCUUGUCGUUCGUUAUCGGCUGAUGCAGCCGGAUUGUCUUCAGUAGCUAGUGCUUUAGACUCAGAGACAUUCACAGCAGGAGUGGCUUCUGAAAACACUUGACGUGCAACAGGUUGAUGAUGCACUUCUCCUUCUGGAACGCUCGUAAGAGGGACUUGAGGCCUUGGUCAUUUGCGAAGCCUGCGAAGUGCUGGCAACGCCUUUGGAGAUGGAGUAGGAUGGGCCUCAAAGUCUUCAUCUUCUUCUUGCAUGGGUGGUGUAGCUGGUUGUUGUUGUUGGGGAGUACUUGGGGAAUCUUGUUCUUGCGGGCGAUCAGCCCAUGAAGCAUCCUGAGCAGUUAGCGUCAGAGGACGACCAAUGCUGAUGAGUUCGUUGUUCGUACGAGCAGGCGAUGAUACCACAUUGUAUUCGAUCUGAGGAAGAACUUCAUCAUCUCCAACAUUGUAAUGAUGACCGAUGUCUUCAGCAGCGGUGGGUUCAGCUGCUGGUAUAUCUUCAGCUUCAGGAGCCUCUGUGGAAGCAGGCUCAUGAACAGUCAUGCGAAGUUCUUGGGAUGCAGAUGAAGGAUGAACCACUGAGAUGGGUUCAACAACAAGGGGCUCUGUGGGAGCAGCCCGACUCUUCUUGGUCUUGCGCUUCUUCUUGGAAGGAGUGGCAUCAGAGGCUUCAAUAUUCUUCCUCUUUCUGGCUUCAGCCUCGGCAGCCCUCGUCUUCUUCUAUUCUGAAGCGGUUGUGGUGACCUUUGGCUUCGAGCCAGUCAUGCUGCUUGGGAAGAUAAUGCGAGGAGCUUCUUGGCUUGAAGGUGCAGGCUGGGCAGCAGGAAGCUUCUUCUUUUUCUUUGCAGCCAUCCUGGGGUCAAUGCCAGGACGGCCAAGUGACUUGCGCUUCUCAGCCUCAUUGUAGGCAAGCACACACUUAUCAGCCAAACUCUUCAUGCGCUCACGAGAGCCUUGAGCUUCUUGGCGCUUCUUCAGAAAAGCUUCUUUAAGCGCAUGCAGCAUGACCUUGAAGUUUCUGACGUCUUGAACACUGAGCUUCACCACAUGCUUCUUGAAUUGAGCCUUCUCAUAAUCAAUUUUGUUCUUCAGCUCAACGAUGCGCUAAGCAAGAGCUAGCUCAGAAGCAAUGGCGCCAUUGAAAGCGACGCUGAGGCCAAUGGGAAGCUGCAAAUCUUCAAAGCUUAGAUUGGGGGUGUCGAACCAUUCAUCAAUGAAGUUAUGGAGAACGGCCACAUCAAAGAGAGGCAAGUUGUUGAAGAUUUCGGCUUCUUCCUUGCUCUUGAUCAGUUGUUCAAGGGCAUCAUCAGCAAGAUCUUCAUCACUGGACAGAUCAAUGGGCUCUUCACGCAGAAUAGCAGCAGGAGUCAGAGCCAGAUCAGUUCGCUUGACGAUUUUCUUUUUCUUCUCCGUCUUCUUGGAGAUGCGGGACAGAUCUUCGGAAUGCACACUGACUUUAGGAGGUGCAGUGGCCAGUGGCUUCACACGAGAAGCUUUUGUAGGUGCAGCUGAUGAUGAAGCCUUAAUCUUCUUUGGCUUCUGCGGCCUUGGAGUAGGAGCUGGGGCUUCAUCAGAAUCAGCAUCAUUGUCAGAAUGAUCCACUUUGGCACCUUGUACCAAGAUGUAGGAGAUGAGGCCAUCAAGGUUUGCAAAGGGGCCAAUUCUAUUUUCUUCAGCUUCACGUGAGCCAUCAUCACGGGGAGCAGAGGGACCAGGAUUGAAGUCUAAUCCCCGUGACUUCUUGUUUUCCUUUGCCGAAGCCUUAGCAAAUUGGAAGUUGUGCUUGAAGAGAUUGUCGUCACGACACCAGAGCAAUGAUGAUGGGUCGGCUUCUUCAGGCUGUGGUCCACGGGCCAUGCAAGGAUAGAAUUCUUGCGCAAUGGCUUCAGCUUUGUUCUUGGGGGGAAGGCCUCGAUAGAGAAUAUCACCCCAAGGGCUCUUGAUAGCAUUUUUCUCUGCGUACUCCUGGGUGACGAACUUGUACUUGUACCACUGUUCAGCCCAAUAGCGUCGAAUCCAUUGGAUUCGAGUCUUGCGCUGAUUGUAAUCUUCUUCAGGAUCUGUUUUAUACAUUUCUGCCAGAUCAUCAGGCAGAUCCUUUGAAGUUCCCCCUCGACGCUGUGUGCCACCCUUCCUGACAGAUUUCUCUGUAGCCAUGAACUUCAAACUGAACGGUUUCAAUAUGUUCAAAGGCUUCAAAGGCUUUCGCUUGCUGGUCAGACAUGAAGUGGCUUCAGGAGAAUCAAUGUGUUGCUGUAAGAAUUCUGCAAACGAAUGCAGACUAUGAGAACCUAGGGAUUCUCCCACGGACAUGUACCUGUGACAGCAUUAGAGAUGCGAGGGAAGGGGAAGAGGUCAUAUGCAUUCUCAGAAGAUUUUGAAGAUAAAUCAGUUUGAAGACAUUGACCUCACGAUGCGAAGACAUUCACUUAUAUGAGGCGAGUUGGUUCCAGAUUUGUACCAAUCCAUGAAUAAGUACAAGUGAGGAAUCAAACUAGAUAGGAAAUCUAAGUGAAUAGACUAGGCAUAAUGAGAUGCAGACAGAAUAGAUCUAACAUUGAGUAGGUAGAAACCACUUUCGGUAAAUAGGAUGAAUCUAUGAAGAUCAAAAAGGUGGUAAAAAUAGAGUUAUAAUUACCGCACGAAGAACUGCUAGAAGGGAUGAAUAGGAGACCGAGCAGUUCAGCCAACCGUGCCCUAACUUGGUGAUGGAGGACACCUACGGCGACGACGGAGAGGACGAUGUCCGCGGCCGGUGUGAGGACGGCGUCGGAGAAGUUGCGGCAGCUAAGCGCUUCAUCACCGGCGUCGUCGAGAACUAGCGGUGGCGCUAGGGUUUUGACGAGGUGGAGAGGUGGAUGAAGGUUUUCUUGACCGCAGGGGACAUGUAUUUAUAAGUAGGUGUGCAGCACAGCGCAAUUACGCAGGUGCCCCUGUCUAUUCACAUCCAUGGGACACGUGGCAAGCAUGCAAUAUACUUAGAGUUGUCCCACGUUCCCACGCCUGCCAAGUUUGUCGGAUGUUCGUUCCGGCUUCUCCGGAUAUCGACAAUAAAGAUGAAUCAUUUAAAUAGGACUUGAUGUUUGUCUCUGUGUCUUCUGCUGACUAGGACACAGAGAAGACAUUCGACAGUUUCAAUAGAAUGCAUAUGAUUUGGACAGAUAGAGUUUGAGAUAGAAAGCAUAGAGGGGUUAGAGUCCGAUCACAUUCACUUAGUUCAAAAGAUUCAACUUGAAGACAUAGCUAUAAGUGAAUGCUGUAGAGGACAGAACGCUAGUAUAUAUAUAUAUGCAAUCAAAUCAUCAUAGCGCAGAAAAUCAUGAAGAUAAAUUGAAACUGAAGACAAACCAAAUUCGAAGUCUUUGCAAAAGUAACGCCAUGAGUGAAACACUUCAAACAGAGAAAUUUGGUGGUGGCGUUACCCACCGUAUAGGAAGUAUUAGACCCAGACACGACGCACAAUUAUCGUGGGGCUCUGAAGUCAAAUUCCAUGUUAAUGUACUCACACUCAGAGUGUAAGUCUUCAUUGAUUGAAGAUAUACCUUACUUCUUGUGUUGCACAUCUAAGUCAUCAACAUGCAUAAGUGUUAGGAUGUGUGCCUGAUCACAGGACAUUAGAGGAUUCCAAGAUAUUUAGCUCACACCGUAACUUGCAAACCCUUUUCUCAUCCAAGGGCUUUGUGAAGAUAUCUGCCAAUUGUUCUUCAGUGUUGACGUGAAUGAUGUCAAUAUCUUUCUUCAUGACAUGAUCUCUGAGAAAAUGAUUACGAAUUUCAAUGUGCUUUGUCUUCGAGUGCUGAACUGGAUUGUUGGCAAUCUUGAUGGCGCUUUUGUUGUCGCAGAAGAGAGGGACUUGAUUCAGAUCGAUGCCAUAGUCCUUGAGAGUUUGCUUCAUCCACAAAAGCUGAGCACAACAGGAUCCAGCAGCAAUGUAUUCAGAUUCAGCAGUUGAGAGUGAUACACAAUUCUGCUUCUUUGAAGACCAACAAACAACUGAUCGUCCCAAAAAGUGACAUGUUCCUGAUGUUGACUUGCGAUCCACCUUGUCACCAGCAUAAUCAGCAUCCGAGAAUCCAACUAGAUCAAACCUUGAGCCCUUUGGAUACCAUAAUCCGAGUGUUGGGGUAUAAGCCAAAUAUCGAAGAAUUCGCUUCACAGCUAAGUGAUGCGAUUCCUUUGGUGCCGCUUGGAAUCGAGCACACAUGCAAACACUAAGCAUAAUAUCUGGCCUAGAUGCACAUAGAUAAAGUAAAGAACCAAUCAUGGAGCAGUAUACCUUUUGAUCGAACUCUUUACCAUUGUCGUCGGGACCAAGGUGGUGUUUGGCUGGCAUUGACGUCGUAUAACCUUUGCAGUCUUCCAUUCCAAACCUCUUCAGACAAUCUUUGAGGUACUUUUCUUGAGAUAUGAAGAUGCCAUUGCUUUGCUGACGAAUUUGAAGACCAAGGUAGAACUUCAGUUCUCCCAUCAUGGACAUCUGAUAUUGCUCUUGCAUCAUGUAUCCAAACUCAUCACUAUACUUCUGGUUGGUGCAGCCGAAGAUUAUGUCAUCCACAUAUAUUUGGCACACAAACAGUUCACCAUCAUAUGUCUUCGUGAAGAGUGUGGGAUCUAGAGAUCCUGGUUUGAAGCCCUUGCUCUUCGGGAAGUCUUUGAUUGUAUCAUACCAAGCGCGAGGAGCUUGUUUGAGACCAUACAGUGCUUUGUUGAGUUUGUACACCAUAUCAGGAUGUUUUGGAUCUUCAAAGCCAGGUGGUUGAGCAACAUACACCUCUUCUUCAAUCUUGCCAUUGAGAAAUGCACUCUUCACAUCCAUUUGAUAUAGCAAGAUGUUGUGGUGAUUUGCAUAGGCUAGCAGUGUGCGAAUAUCUUCAAGCCUAGCAACAGGAGCAAAUGUUUCAUCGAAGUCAAUUCCUUCAAGUUGAGUAUAUCCUUGAGCCACAAGACGUGCUUUGUUUCUGAUGACUUGACCAUGCUCAUCUUGUUUGUUCCGAUAUAUCCAUUUCGUUCCAAUAAUGUUAUGCUUGCGAGGGUCAGGUCGCUUUACAAGUUCCCAAACAUUAUUCAGCUUGAACUGUUGAAGUUCUUCUUGCAUGGCUUGAAUCCAUUCAGGUUCCAUAAAAGCUUCAGCAACUUUCUUGGGUUCUGAUAUUGACACAAAUGAAAAGUGCCCACAGAAGUUUCCUAACUGUGUUGCUCUUGAUCGAGUAAGAGGACCAGGUGCGUUGAUACUAUCAAUUAUCUUCUCAAUUUGUACUUCAUUUGCAACACGAGGAUGAACUGGACGAAGACCUUGCUCAUGCUGAUCAUUGUCAUCAUUGGAAGUAUUGUCUUUGGUCUGAGCAUUGUCUUCAGGUUGGUUUGGUGCAGAAAUGAUAAGUUCCUCUUCAGGCUGUGCUUCAGAGGGCAUGAUCUCACCAGUUCCCAUCAGCUUGAUAUAUUCACUGGAAGGAGCUUCAUCAAGUGUGCUUGGCAGGAGCUCUCGUUGUGAACCAUUGGUUUCAUCAAAUCGCACAUCCACUGUUUCAACGAUUUUGUAGUGGAAGAGGUUGAAGACUCUGUAAGAGUGCGAAUCCUUUCCAUAGCCAAGCAUGAAGCCUUCGUGAGCUUUGGGUUCAAAUUUUGACUUGUGAUGGGGAUCCUUGAUCCAGCACCUAGCUCCAAAGACUCUGAAGUAGCUGACAUUUGGCUUCUUGCCAGUAAGGAGCUCAUAGGAUGUUUUACCCAGAAGCUUAUGGAUGUAGACACGGUUGAUGAUGUGACAAGCUGUAUCAAUGGCUUCAGGCCAGAAUUUUCUUGGUGUCUUGUACUCGUCAAGCAUUGUUCGAGCCAUCUCGAUGAGGGUUCUGUUCUUGCGCUCUACAAUGCCGUUUUGCUGAGGUGUGUAUGGAGCAAAAAAUUCAUGAGUGAUUCCCAUUGUAUCCAGAUAAAGGUCAAGCCCGGUGUUCUUGAAUUCAGUGCCGUUAUCACUUCUGAUAUGCUUGAUCUUGACGCCAUAAUUGUUCAUUGCUCGAUUGGCGAAUCAUCUGAAGACAUCUUGUACUUCAGUCUUGUAGAGAAUUAUGUGCAACCAUCUAUAUCUUAAGUAGUCAUCAACAAUGAUGAAGCCAUAGAGACACGCCUUUGUUGUGAGGGUGGAGUAGUGAGUAGGGCCAAAUAAGUCCAUGUGCAACAGCUCAAAGGGUGGAGAUGUCGUCAUGAUUGUCUUCGAGGGGUGCUUGGCCCUUGUCAUCUUCCCAGCUUAGCAAGCACCACACAAAUGAUCUUUCUUGAACUUGACACCUUCGAUGCCUAUGACAUGCUUCUUCUUGACGAGAGUGUGCAAGUUCCUUGAGGGAGUUCCGGACUAGGGGGUGUCCGGAUAGCUGAACUAUCAUCAUCGACCGGACUCCAAGACUAUGAAGAUACAAGAUUGAAGACUUCGUCCCGUGUCCAGAUGGGACUUUCCUUGGCGUGGAAGGGAAGCUUGGCGAUACGGAUAUGUAGAUCUCCUACCUUUGUAACCGACUCUGUGUAACCCUAGCCCUCUCCGGUGUCUAUAUAAACCGGAUGGCCUUAGUCCAUAGGACGAACAACAAUCAUACCAUAGGCUAGCUUCUAGGGUUUAGCCUCCUUGAUCUCGUAGUAGAUCUACUCUUGUAACCCACAUCAUCAAUAUUAAUCAAGCAGGACAUAGGGUUUUACCUCCAUCAAGAGGGCCCGAACCUGGGUAAAAACAUCGUGUCCCUCGUCUCCUGUUACCAUCCGCCUAGACGCACAGUUCGGGACCCCCUACCCGAGAUCCGCCGGUUUUGACACCGACAUUGGUGCUUUCAUUGAGAGUUCCUCUAUGUCGUCACCGAUAGGCUCGGUGGCUUCUUUGAUCAUCAUUAACGACGCAGUCCAGGGGGAGACCUUCCUCCCCGGACAGAUCUUCGUAUUCGGCGGCUUUGCACUGCGAGCCAAUUCGCUUGGCCAACUGGAGCAGAUCGAAAGCUACGCCCCUGGCCGUCAGGUCAGAUUUGGAAGUUUGAACUUCACGGCUGACAUCCGCGGGGACUUGAUCCUCGAUGGGUUCGAGCCAUAGCCGAGCGUGCCGCACUGUCGCGGAGAGCAUGAUUUAGCUCUGCGGCUGGACAGUACCUUGGAGGCCGCACUAGAAACCUCUCCGAUCUUCAAUUCGGAGCCAGCUCUGCAGAUCGAGGAUGGAUGCCUAGACACCGCCUCGGGGGCUGCAACCUCUACAGCGAUAGAGCCGAACACUGACUUUGUCCCUCAUAAAGCUCGUGAUUCCAAGGUGCCGGACUCCUCGCCGGACUCCAAACCUCCCGCGCCCGCCCUGAUCGAAUCCGAUUGGGCGUCGAUCAUGGAGUUCACCGCAGCGGACGUCUUUCAACACUCACCUUUCGGCGACAUCUUGAGUUCGCUAAAAUAUCUCUCGUUAUCAGGAGAGCCCUGGCCGGACUGCGGUCAGGAUGGUUGGGAUGCGGACGACAAAGAAAUUCAAAGCCCACCCACCACCCACUUGGUAGCCGCUGUCGAUGAUUUAACCGACAUGCUAGACUACGACUCCGAGGACAUCGACGGUAUGGACGACGAUGCCGGAGACGACCAAGAACCAGCGCCCACUGGGCACUGGACAGCCACCUCAUCGUAUGACAUAUACAUGGUGGAUAUCCCAAAAGAUGGGAAUGGCGAAGGAAGAGAGGAGGAUGACCCCUCCAAAAAGCAGCCCAAGCGCCGGCGCCAGCGGCGCCGCUCUAAAUCCCGCCACAGCAAGAAUGAAGACUCCGGCACCGGAGACAAUAAUACACCGGACAGUGCCGAAGACAACCCGCUCCAGCAAGAUGCAGCACAGGAGGACGGAGACGCCAGCCCUCAUGAGAGAGUGGCAGAAGAAGAGGUAGAGGAUUAUAUGCCUCCCUCCGGAGACGAAGCAAGCCUCGACGAUGAUGAAUUCGUCGUGCCUCAGGAUCCCGUCGAACAAGAGCGUUUUAAACGCAGGCUUAUGGCCAUGGCGAACAACCUCAAGAAAAAGCAGCAACAGCUUAGAGCUGAUCAGGAUCUGCUAGUCGACAGAUGGACUGAAGUCCUCACGGCCGAAGAGCAUGAUCUUGAACGCCCCUGCAAAAGCUACCCUAAACACAGUUGCUCCCCUGAUUAGAGGAGGAGGCUUACGAACCCGCAUCACCAGGAGACAAUACGGCUGACCGACCACCCCGUGGUCGCGACAGAGUGGCCUCUAGGCCCUUCACCAGACCCGUACCCCGACAUCGCUCGAAAAGCACACGGCCACAGGGGAACACUCCGGACUUGCGAGAUAUAUUGGAGGAUAAGGCAAGACAAUCAAGAUCAAUCUAUGGAUCGCAUGGCUGUCCCACGAUACGUGACGACAAUCGUUGCGCCGGACACAAUAAGACCGGCCGGGCCGAACAAAAUAGAUCAAGCUCCCUUGAGCUCCAUCGUGAUAUCGCCCAGUACAGAGGCGCCGCACACCCACUAUGCUUCACAGAUGAAGUAAUGGAUCAUCAAAUCCCCGAAGGGUUUAAACUCGUCAAUAUUGAAUACUAUGAUGGCACAAUAGACCCCGCGGUUUGGAUCGAAGACUAUCUCCUUCACAUCCACAUGGCCCGCGGUGACGAUCUUCACGCCAUCAAAUACCUCCCCCUCAAGCUUAAAGGACCAGCCCGGCAUUGGCUCAAUAGCUUGCCAGCAGAGUCAAUUGGGAGUUGGGAGGACCUGGAAGCCACAUUCCUCGAUAACUUCCAGGGCACUUAUGUGCGACCACCAGACGCUGAUGACAUAAGCCACAUAAUUCAGCAGCCAGACGAAUCGGCCAGGCAAUUCUGGACACGGUUCUUAACCAAGAAAAAACAAAUCAUCGACUGUCCGGAUGCGGAGGCCCUCGCGGCCUUCAAGAAUAACAUCCGCGACGAGUGGCUCGCCCGGCACCUGGGACAGGAAAAUCCGAAAUCCAUGGCAGCCCUCACAUCACUCAUGACCCGCUUUUGCACGGGUGAGGACAGCUGGCUAGCACGCAGCAACAACCUCAGCAAAAAUUCUGGCAGUCCGGACUUCAAGGACCGAAAUGGCAGGCCGCGUUGCAUCAAAAACAAACGCCGCACUAACGGCGAUCAUAUUGAGGAUACGGUAGUCAAUGCCGGAUUCAGAGGCUCUAAACCCGGUCAGCGGAAAAAGCCAUUCAAGAGAACUACUCCGGGUCCGUCCAAUUCGGACCGAAUACUCGACCGCUUGUGCCAGAUACACGGCACCCCCGAAAAGCCAGCUAACCACACCAACAGGGACUGUUGGGUAUUCAAGCUGGAAGGCAAGUUAAUUGCCAAAAACAAUGACAAGGGGCUACAUAGCGAUGACGAGGACGAGACCCAACCGCCGAACAAUAGAGGACAGAAGGGUUUCCCCCCAUAGGUGCGGACGGUGAACAUGAUAUACGCAACGCACAUACCCAAAAGGGAGCGGAAGCGUGCACUCAAGGAUGUCUACGCGAUGGAGCCAGUUGCCCCGAAGUUCAAUCCAUGGUCCUCCUGCCCGAUCACUUUUGACCGAAGGGACCACCCCUCCAGCAUCCGCCACGGCGGAUUCACCGCACUAGUCUUAGACCCAAUUGUCGAUGGAUUUCACCUAACUAGAGUCCUGAUGGACGGCGGCAGUAGCCUGAACCUGCUUUACCAGGAUACAGUGCACAAAAUGGGCAUAGACCCCUCAAGGAUUAAACCUACCAAAACGACCUUUAAAGGCGUUAUUCUAGGUGUAGAAGCCAAUUGUACAGGCUCAAUUACACUGGAAGUGGUCUUCGGAUCCCCGGAUAACUUCCGAAGCGAGGAGUUAAUCUUCGACAUAGUCCCGUUCCGCAGCGGCUAUCAUGCCUUGCUCGGACGUAUUGCGUUUGCAAAGUUCAACGCGGUGCCGCACUAUGCAUACCUCAAGCUCAAGAUGCCAGGCCCUUGAGGAGUCAUCACGGUCAACGGAAACACUGAACGUUCUCUCCGCACAGAGGAACAUACAGCGGCUCUCGCGGCAGAAGUGCAAUGCAGCCUCUUAAGGCAAUUCUCGAGUCAGGCCUUUAAGCGGCCGGACACAGCUAAGCGCGCCCGGAGUAACUUACAACAAGACCACUUGGCACGUUCUGAGCACGCGUAGCAGUGCGGCCCCAACCCCAGCUCCUGCAAAACGUUAAAGCAGGUCCUUCGCGUACACCAUUGUGCUCUGAAGAUACCAUGGGCAUGGGGAGAGGGGCACGACCACGAUAAACCCAGACUGCGGCUAAACCACACCAGGGGCUCUCAAGUGUGUCGUUCUUUUUUCUUUUCUUUUUACCUUUUAUUUUUUACCCACAGGACUCCGUUUGUCAGAGGCCCUGUCCGGCAGCAGAUUUGCCGAACUCACGAUGCAACAGCCAGGAAAGGAUAAAGGCUACAACGAAUAUACAGGUGGUCUCCGUUACGAGCAUUUUUAUACACCAAUCUGCAGCCUACCCCUGGAGGGGGACAUGUUUAACAGUCCCAUACCUUGCUUAUCGCACUAUUUGUAUCAUUCUGCAUUCGUAGCAGCACUUAUUGAAUAAAACAAUGCAGCACCUUUUUGCUUAUAAUCGCAUUUCCUUUUCAUACAUAUGUUCAUCCACGGCAUAUUGCAUCCGUACACUUUGGUACGGCUAAUACACACCAGGGGCUUAUGUUCCCCGCAUUAUGGUGUGAUGAGUCCGAACACUUUCACAAGUGCGGCACCCCGAACUUAUAGCACUAUAUGCAUCGGCUCUGAAUCAUGUCUUGGGUCAAUAGUUGGGUUUGCCCGGCUCCCAUGUUUUGGUACCUUACGUUCCAUUAUAUCGGCUAAGGUAGCACUGGGAGAACCACUGCGACUGCGCCCCAGUUGAGCUGGGCUAAUGCCUCAGUGGAGGAAGCUAAAACUGACCAUCAUGAUGAGGCGAGAGCCGGUCGCUGUUCGAGAGGUUCUUUGCGAGUCCUAAAGACUUAUGCCGCUUAGAGCGAGGAGCCGGAUACUGUCCGGCCAAGGCGUGGAUAGCGCCCAAAUUCGGCCUUCCGAAGACUAGGGGCUUCGCCGAAAUUUAAAAUUAUAGAAUUCUAUGGCUAAGUGAGAGUGUUCAAGCAUUAUAAGUCCGGUUGCCUUGUUCGCUGUGUCGAGCACCUCCCUAGAUGGACCCAAAAAUGGGAACAAGAGUUCUCGAGUUUAUCCCGAACACCCCAGCACUCGUGGCAUGGGGGCUGAAGCCGACGACUUGCCAUCUCUCAGAUUUGAUAAACAGCCGCACAGAAGGUAAUAUUUUAAAUUAACAAGUGUUGCUUAGCGCAUAUGAACCAAGUUUUUAGCGCACAGGAUAACAAAAUGCAAGUCUACUCAAAUAUUACAUCUUUGGAGCACUCACCCGCAAUAGUGCGGGCGCCCUUCAGCACACUCUUAUAAUACAUCUUAGGCGUGCGAUGCUCCUUGCCCUCUGGUGGCAGGUCCGUCACGAGCUUUUGGGCAUCCAUCUUGCCCCAGUGCACCUUUGCGCGGGCAAGGGCCCGAUGGGCACCUUCAAUACAAGCGGAAUGCGUGAUGACUUCAACCCACGGCCACGCAUCCACCAGCCGCCGCACCAGGCCGAAGUAGCUCCCAGGCAUAGCCUCCUUAGGCCGCAGCCGAACUAUGAGGCCCUUCAUGGCCUGUUCGGCCGCCUUGUGGAGCUCGACCAGCUGCUUCAACUGGUCGCUAAGGGGCACCGGAUGUCCGGCCUCAGCAUACUGAGACCAGAAGACCUUCUCCAUCGACCUCCCCUCCUCGGCCCGGUAGAAUGCGGCAGCAUCGGACACGCUGCGAGGAAGAUCUGCGAACGCUCCUGGAGAGCUCCGAAUUCGGGUAAGCGACAGGUAAUUAACACUCACAUGCUUACUUUGCAUGAAAAAUGCCUUACCCACUGCUAUUUUCUUUACCGCCUCGAUCUCCUGGAGGGCCUUGUAGGCUUCGGCCUUAGCGGCUUUGGCACUCUCAAGAGCCGUUGCAAGCUCAGACUCUCGAGUCUUCGAGUCACGCUCCAGGCUCUCAUGUUUCCUCAUGAGAUCCUGGAGCUCUUGUUGUACCUCCGCCACCCGCACCUCCUGUUUCUCUCGCUCGGUGCGCUCCGCAGCCGCAUUGCGUUCGGCCGCGGCCACCACCUCCUUCAGGGUCGCCACCUCGUUAGUGCCCCCUGCAAUACCCCAGUUAUCCUUGUCAUUUUUCUUGCAACCAAAUCCUUUUCUGUAAGGUACAAUUUUCAUAAGGUAUUACUCACCUUCUUUUUCCUCGAGCUGCUUCUUGGCAUGGCCGAGCUCAUUCUCAGACCGCUCGAGGUUUUCCUUCAAAGUAUUGACCUCCGCAGUCAGUGCGGCAGAGGUCAGCAGCAUAGCCUGCAAUCCCAUAUUGACAUAUUUUCAUGACUCCUGCGUUUAUCUUUCUAAAGAUCCUCAGUCCGGCUUUUCUUUCCGAACACCGAACCAAGCAUCAAGGGCUACUGUCUAUGCGGUAGAAUUUUACAUAUAUUGAAAUUCUUAACUCAAAGCAUGUUAGAAGGCUGCUGCAGGCUUCGGUCAGCCCGCUCUUGGGGAGCUGAACCUUCUGAAUCACCGCACUCAUAACAGUGCGGUGUUCCUCUUCGAGGGAGGCGCCGUUGAGCGCCUCCAGUAAAUUAUCCGGCACCUCCGGUUGGACGGAGGCAGCCGGCAUCGCGGUCUUGCCCUUCUUACGAAGGGGUCGCCCGCCGGACUCCGGAGCCACUAUGGGUUCCGGGGCUGAGUCCGGUGCAAAGUCCGGGAGGUUGUCCUGCGACACCUCCAGCGCCCUCUCCUCCUGGUGGGUCCCUUCCUGGGAUCCCACCUCGGCAUCGUCCGCAUCACGGGGGGUGGAGGCAGUCGGAAGAGAAUCCAUAUCCGACGCCCCUAAGGACCUGCUCGACGAAGUGGGGAGAUCAUCCUUAGGCGGACUGCAGGGUUGUAUGCGGCAUUAGAAAGACAUAAUGUGGCGGAAAACGAAAACCUUGAAGUUAUUCGGGAGUCCGGAUACUUACGAUCUCGCUAGAGGCUUGGCCCUUGGAGGCCCUCGUCGUCGUCACUAGCGUUGGUGGAACAGUCCGGGGGAAGAGUUUUUCCCUUCUUGGACCCCUCGGCCUCCCUUGUAGGGGAGGCCUUCCUUUUCUUCCCUCCCCCCGCUGGGGGAGAGGCUCUCUUCUUCUCCUCCUUGCCCUGGUGGGAGGAGUCGGCCUCGGAUUCAUCAUCUAGCACCUGAAAACGGGAACUCUUCCGAGUCCCCGUGGCCUUCUUCUUGGCCUUCUUCUCUGGCACCACGUGGGGUGCCGGGGCCAGCAGCCCCAUUAGGCGGGCGUCAGCUGGGUCCUCUGGCAAUGGGGCCAGACAGAUAGCCUGUGCGGCCUUCUUCAGCCAGUCCUGUCAAAGGAAAGGGAGUUUAGAUCCCGCAUAGAGUCAAACUAUGGAAAACAAGCGUCCCUUAAAGGACAGAAUAACUUACUUCAUCAGCUGGAUGCUCCAAGCUGAAUCCGCGAUCUUCGGUAGCGGAUGCGGGAGCCUCGGUGCCCUUGAACAGCACCUUCCAGACCUCUUCGUACGUAGUGUCGAAGAGUCCAUUCAAAGUUUGGUGCUGCGCCGGAUCGAACUCCCACAUAUUGAAACCCCGUCGUUGGCACGGGAGAAUCUGGCGGAUGAGCAUGACCUGGACUACGUUGACAAGCUUGAGCUUCUUGUCCACCAGCUUUUGGACGCAGGCUUGGAGUCCGGUCAGCUCCUCCGAAUCGCCCCAAAUCCGGCCGCUCUCUUUCCAGGAGGUGAGCUGUGUGGGGAUGUCGGAUCUGAAUUCGGGGGCCACCGCCCAUUCGGGGUCACGCGGCUCGGUGAUAUAGAACCAGCCCGAUUGCCACACCUUGAUGGUUUCCACAAAAGUGCCCUCCAGCCACGUAACGUGGGACAUCCUGCCCACCAUGGCGCCUCCACACUCCGCUUGGCUGCCCUUCACAACCUUCGGCUUGACACUGAAGGUCUUGAGCCACAAGCCGAAGUUGGGCUGGAUGCAGAGGAAGGCCUCACACAUGACGAUAAACGCCGAGAUGUUGAGGAUGAAAUUCGGGGCCAGAUCGUGGAAAUCCAGGUCGUAGUAGAACAUGAGACCCCGGACAAAGGGAUGGAGCGGGAAGCCCAGUCCGCGGAGGAAAUGGGGAAGGAAUACUACCCUCUCAUGGGGCUUGGGGGUGGGGAUGAGCUCUCCCUCGUCGGGGAGCCGAUGCGCGAUGUCGUUGGACAAGUAUCCAGCGUUGGGCAGCUUCUGGAUCUGCCCCUCCGUGACGGAGGAGGCCAUCCACUUGCCUCCCGCUCCAGACAUAGUUGGAGAAGGUUGAGGUGAGAAGUAUGGGCUUGGGCGCUGGAGCUCGAGUUCACAGAGAUGGAUAAGCCAAGGUUGAAGAAGGCGCAGGUAAAAAGGUUGGAUCUUUAUCCCCUUAUAUGGGCAGACAGAAACACACGUCCCCAUCGGCCUGGUAAAACUCGCUUAUCUCCCAAGCGUCACAAUAAAUGGCGCGGUUGGGUUACCCACGUCCGUAUUGAUGGGAAUCCCGGAAUAAGGGGAACACGAUCUCUGCUUCAACAAGACGUGCCAAGGAAACCGCCUCGCUAAACGCGCUGAGGUGGAACAAUAAAAACAAUUCGAGUAAAGGCUUGGAAGUGGUGUGACAUCAUGCCACAGAAUACGUCAGCAGAUUGAUCUUGUGUAAUAUUAUUCUCUCUACGGUGGUAUGUGGAAUUUAUUUUUGCAGAGCCGGACACUAUCCUGGUGUUCACAAUCUUCUAUAAAUUAUUCGUAGGAGGAACCCGCCUUGCAAUGCCGAAGACAAUAUGCACGCCGGACUCGUCGUCAUUGAAGCCUGGUUCAGGGGCUACUGAGGGAGUUCCGGACUAGGGGGUGUUCGGAUCGCCAAACUAUCAUCAUCGGCCGGACUCCAAGACUAUGAAGAUACAAGAUUGAAGACUUCGUCCCGUGUCCGGAUGGGACUUUCCUUGGCGUGGAAGGCAAGCUUGGCGAUACGGAUAUGUAGAUCUCCUACCUUUGUAACCGACUCUGUGUAACCCUAGCCCUCUCCGGUGUCUAUAUAAAUUGGAUGGCCUUAGUCCAUAGGACAAACAACAAUCAUACCAUAGGCUAGCUUCUAGGGUUUAGCCUCCUUGAUCUCGUGGUAGAUCUACUCUUGUAACCUACAUCAUCAAUAUUAAUCAAGCAGGACAUAGGGUUUUACCUCCAUCAAGAGGGCCCGAACCUGGGUAAAAACAUCGUGUCCCUCGUCUCCUGUUACCGUCCGCCUAGACGCACAGUUCGGGACCCCCUACCCGAGAUCUGCCGGUUUUGACACCGACAUUCCUCAUGCCAGCGUGCCCCAGCCUUCGAUGCCAGAGCCAGCAUUCUGACGCUUUUGCAAGAAGACAUACGGCAAGCUGUGGACCUGGUGAGAAAUCUACCAUGUAUAGAUCACCUUUCCUAUACCCUUCAAAGACUAGAGACUUGUCAGAUUCCAUUAGUACAAGGCAACGAUAUUUUCCAAAUAUCACAAUCAUGUUUAAGUCACAAAGCAUUGAGACAGACAUUAAGUUGAAUCCAAGGGAUUCAACAAGCAUCACUUUAUCCAUGUGUUGAUCCUUUGAGAUUGCAACUCUACCCAGACCCAAUACCUUGCCUUUACCAGUGUCAGUCAAUGUGAUUUGACUCUUGUCGGAUGGACGUAAGGUUGAGUCCAUGAGAAGGCUUCGAUCACCAGUCAUAUGAUUAGUGCAUCCGCUGUCAAUAAUCCAUUCUGAAGCUUUUGGUGACAUGCCCUAUAGUGCAGUUAGGAGGAUAGGCUUCACAAUGUAUGUUGUGAAGCAUAUGCAGUUGAUACACACUUGGAUUAUCACAGCAUAGAUGAGAGUUAGCACACAGUAUGACAGGUAAGCGAUUCAUAUGUGGAAUACAUAGUAAGUCAUUUUAUCAUGCGUCCCUUUGUGUUUUAGGUCCCCAGCAAUAAUAUCGGACGCCUUUGAUUGCUAGCUGGAGACCAUGUUCUGCAAAAGAGAGUUAGUUCUUCUUCACCACCCACAUCUUUAGGGGUGGCUUAGAAGCAAUGAGUCUAAGUGCAGCAUCUGAGAAUUUCGGCUUUGGAGCCCUAGCAAAUAGCCUUGCAGGAGAUGAAUGAUACUCAUAUGAAUAAGCAGAAAAGUUCUUAGUAUUGUGAACAUAGCGGUUUGAAGACACACGCUCAUAUUCAUAAGUUUGAGUGUGAUUUCCCUGCAAAACAUUGGCGUUAGGGUGACUCAGGUGAGUCAUGUUUCCGUAUGAAGCUGUUGGACCAUGUGACGCCUUUGAUCUGGGGUUUGUCUUCUUCCCUGGUGGUGUCAUGACAACAUUCACAGGAAGAUUCUCAAGACAGCUUUUGGGAACCCAGAUCUUCUUCAUUGGCGGUCCAUUCCUGCAGUUAGUACCAAUAUACCUGGCAAACACUUCACCAUUCUGAUUUUUGAAUAGUUUAUAGUUUGCAUCAAAGGAUUCAUCAAUGAUAAUAGGAUUAGCACAGGUAAAGCUAGAUAAAGUGGAUGGAUCCACUGAAGGUUCCUUUGCAGCAACCCAUGUGGUUUUGGGAUACUCCUCAGCCUUCCAGUAGGAACCAUCAGCAUUCAUUUUCCUCUCGAACCAACACCCUCUUUCCUAGGGUAUCGGUUCAGAAUCUGCUUUCUGAGGACAUCACAAAGUGUCUGAUGCCCUUUCAGACUUUUAUACAUCCCUGUUUCAAGCAAUGUCUUCAACCUAGCGUUUUCAUCAGCAAUAGUAGUGGUAUCCUCAGAAGAGGGGUUAGUUACCACAUCAGUAGUUGAAGACAGAGCAAUAGUAGUAGCAGUGGAACAUUCAGCAACAGAGGCAGCGUUAUCACGCUCAAUGCAUUUUAAGCAUGGUGGUUCAAAUUCAUCCUGAGCGGGACUGAUUUGUUGAGCGCGAAAUGACUCAUUCUCUUUUUGAAGAUCUUCAUGAGUUGCUUUCAAUUUCUCAAGCUCUUGCUUCCUUUGAAGAUAAUCAUAGGAGAGCUUUUCAUAAGUGGUUGAGAGCGUCUCAUGAAGACUUUCAAGUUCUUGAUACUUAGCAUGAAGAUUUUUUAUGUCUUCAACUAAGGACUGUGAACGUGUCAUUUCCGCGUCCAACAGGUCAUCGCUUUUGUCUAACAGUUUUUGAGUAUGUUCCAUAGCUCUUUGUUGUUCAGUAGCAAUUUUAGCAAGUGUUUUGUAGCUGGGUUUAGAUUCAAAAUCAGAGUCAUCUUCACUUGAUGUUUGAAAGUAAGCAUCGCGUGAUUUUACCUUGGCACCGCGUGCCAUGAAGCAGUAGGUGGGAGCAGGAUCGUCCUUGUCAUCAUCAGCAUUGGUGUGGGAGUCAUUGUCUUUAGUGUUGAAGAUGGACUUUGCAACGUAGGCUGUGGCCAGAGCCAGACUUGCAACACCAGAGUCGGACUCAGCUUCAGAUUCCACCUCUGCCUCCUCAGAAGCAGACUCCUCCUCUGAAUCCAUUUCCUUGCCAACAAAAGCACGACCCUUGCUAGAUGAGCUCUUCUUGUGAGAUGAAGACCUUGAUGAGGACUUGGAAGAAGACUUCGAAGAUUUCUUCUUCUUCUUGUCAUCGGAGUCAUAUUCCUUGCUCUUCUUCUUCUUCAUCUUGUUGUCCCACUGAGGACACUCAGAGAUGUAGUGCCCAGGCUUCUUACACUUGUGACAUGUUCUCUUCUUGUUGUCUUGAGUGGAAGCUUCAUCAUUUCUUGAACUAGAUCGUGAAGACUUUCUGAAGCCCUUCUUGUUGGUGAAUUUCUGGAACUUCUUCACAAGCAUAGCAAGCUCCCUUCCAAUGUCUUCAGGAUCGUCAGAACCGCAGUCAGAUUCUUCUUCUUCAGAUGAGGAAACAACUUUUGCCUUCAAAGCACGAGUUCGGCCAUAGUUGGGGCCAUAGAUAUCUCUUUUCUCAGAAAGCUGGAACUCAUGUGUGUUGAGCCUCUCAAGUAUAUCAGACAGAUCGAGUGUCUUGAAGUCAGGACGUUCUUGUAUCAUGAGGGCAAGGGUGUCAAAGGAGGUGUCAAGUGAUCUCAGCAGUGUCUUGACAAUUUCAUGCUUGGUGAUCUCAGUGGCGCCGAGGGCCUGAAGCUCAUUUGUGAUGUCGGUGAGGCGAUCAAACGUGAGCUGGACAUUUUCAUUGUCGUUUCUCUUGAAGCGAUUGAAGAGAUUGCGAAGAACACUGAUCCUUUGGUCUCUUUGUGUAGAGACGCCUUCAUUGACCUUGGACAGCCAGUCCCAGACUAGCUUUGACGUUUCUAGAGCACUCACACGGCCAUACUAUCCUUUGGUCAGAUGACCACAGAUGAUGUUCUUUGCAGUCGAGUCCAGUUGAAUGAACUUCUUGACAUCAGUAGGGGUGACACCUUCACCAGUUUUGGGAAGGCCAUUCUUGACGACAUACCAGAGGUCGACAUCAUUGGCUUCAAGAUGCAUGCGCAUCUUAUUCUUCCAGUAGGGAUAUUCUGUUCCAUCGAACACGGGGCAAGCAGCAGAGACUUUGAUUAUCCCUGCAGUCGACAUAGCUAAACUCCAGGUGGUUAAACGGAAUCACACAGAACAAGGGAGUACCUUGCUCUGAUACCAAUUGAAAGUGCUAGUAAUCGACUAGAGGGGGGGGUGAAUAGGCCAUUUUUAUCAAAGUCUUCAAAACGUGGAAGUUUUGAAGACAAACAAUAGAAAUGACCUAAUUGAUAUGCAGCGGAAGAUAGACUACAACAAACAAGCCAUAGUCAAGUAUGCAACAGCGUUAACGUACGAAGACUAAUAGCAGCUAGGUAGUAGGAUCAGGAUGGAAGAUAGUAUGAAGCCAAUCAACAAUAGUAGUCAAGCAAUGAAGUCAAUCAGAUAAGACAGAUAAGCAAUGACUUCAUGAAGACAAACUCAAAGUAAAGGAGGGAAGAGAUAGAACCAGUCAUUGUUGAAGACACAGGAUUUGUUGGACCAGUUCCAGUUGCUGUGACAACUGUACGUCUGGUUAGGGAGGCUGAGAUUCGACUCAGAAGACCGUGUCUUCACCUUAUUCCCCUUGAGCUAAGGACACUUAGUCCUUGCCCAAUCACUCUGGUAAGUCUUCAAGGUAGACUUCCGAACCUUCACAGACUUUGUUCACCCGGCAAUCCACAAUGACUCUUGGAUGCUCAGAACGCGACGCCUAACCGGCUGGAGGAUGCACAGUCCUCAAGUGUAACAAGUCUUCAGGUCACACAGACAUAAAGACUUCAGUGAUGCCUAACACUCUUUGGCUCUGGGUGUUUAGGCUUUGUCCUCGCAAGGAUUUCUCUCUCAAAGGCUUCGAGGUGGGUUGCUCUCAAAACGACAAAAGCCGUAAACUAACUCUGAGCAGCCACCAAUUUAUGGUGUAGGGGGUGGGCUAUUUAUAGCCACAAGGCAACUUGACCUGGUAUGUCCGAAAUGACCCUGGGUCACUAAGGAACUGACAUGUGUUCCAAUGGUCAGAUUUCAAACAAACACGGCAACUUUACUUGGGAUACAAGCAAAGCUGACUCAUCCAGCUCUGGAUAAGAUUUGCUCUCAUUGUCUUCGCUCGAAGACAUAGGAUUUGGGUGGAGCAUCACUUCAGUCACUCUGACUUAGUUCACUUGGACCCCACUUAACAGUACGGUGGUUCCUACGACUCAACAAAGAAGAAAAGGAAACAAUGAAACCACACAGUCUUCGCGCUCCAUAGUCUUCAUGCAAUGUCUUCUCAUGUCAUAGUCUUCAAUAUGAAUAUCUUCUCAUACCACCAUUGUCUUCAUACAUUUUUAGGGGUCAUCUGCGGUAGGUAAACCGAAUCAAUGUGGGACAGGUCCUGCCUUAUCCUGCAAUUCUCACAAACGCAUUAGUCCCUCAACCAACUUUGUCGUUAAUACUCCAAAACCAACUAGGGGUGGCACUAGAUGAACUUACACGGAGCUGCGGGUGCGCGCGCUGACAGGCGUGUCCUGGGGCUCCUCCUUGACGGGGAGGAGGCAGGGAGAGCCCGACGAGCGGCCGGACAAGGAGGAGGACGCCCCAGGCCGCUCCAUGCGCCUCGGCGUCCAGGAGCUCCCACGGCGGCGUGAGAAGGACGAGGGGGCGGGGUACUCGAGGCGCGACGUGUUACCGCCCUCGAUGUACUCGAGGACGGCCUCCAACGUGCGGUCAGGCACGCCCCACCACCGGCGCCGGCCCUCGGAGUUGAGCCUGUCGGAGGGCACGAUGUCGUUCGUCGCCUUGAGCUGCUCGGCAUGGCGGCGGCGGAAGUAGGGUUCCUAGAGCGGGCUGUCGGGGGUGUACCGUGGGCCUUCCCUCACCGCCCGCGGCAGGGAUGCGCGGAUACGUGCGAUCUCCGCACGUCGCGCAACCCUGGUUGGUGGUGGUGGCACCGGCACGCCGCCUGUCGGACUAAUGGGCCACGGGUAGGCUGACCCGAGCCCCAGAACCUUUCAAGACAUCGGGGCAGGCCACGCCCCUCAAAGCCGAGUCUCAGAUGACGACUCCCAGAUGAACCGAGUCUCAUAUGACGACUCCCAGAUGAGCCGAGUCUCAGAUGACGACUCCUAGAUGAGCCGAGUCUCAGAUGACGACUCCCGGAUGAACCGGGUCUCAGAUGACGACUCCCAGAUGGGUCGACUCAUGGCCGGCGACUUCCAGAGGAGCCGGCUAUGGAGAGUCGGCCCACGACUCUACACUCAUUACGGGUACGACCACGGCGUGGCCGUCACCUCCUGCUUACGAGGAGCCGGCGUGGCUACAGUGUGUCGUACCGCCGGAGAACUCCGGCGUGGCCCGGCACUGUUGCCAUGCCAGACCUGACCUCGGCCACAGUGCGCGGCACACUGUGGCCACGAUGGCCUGCCUAUACGGCUCACAGACGGCGUACCCGCCAGUCAGUGAGAGCUAGAAGACGGCGGAUACGCUCCGAAGGCGGCCCCGUGGGAGUCGGCUCCCCGGAGUCGGCCAGCCACUCUCAUGGGUCCCACGCGCCAUUAACCAGACAAGAUGGGGAGUAAUGAGAGUGAUCGCCUGAUAGACGGCAGCACUGUUGCCACGACCCAAUGACCAAGCCUGCGUCAUCAGAGGCACGGCUACAGUGCCGGACUCGCCGGCGGGGCCCACAAGUCGGAGGGCCCCAUUAGUCGGCGGAGAAGACGGCGGCCUGUGAGACAGACGGCUGGGACCCGCGCGCAGCCGGAUUACUAUUGUAUCCCCGGGGGGUAGGCCUAUAUAAACCCCCCGGGGCACCCAUGCAAAGGGUUCGCUCCCAUUAGCCUUAGACCCGAUGAUAUAGGAAGAAGAGGGCUAGCCUUGUCUCCUUCUACCUCCAGAAUACAGCUCUAGGAGCAACCUUGUAGUCACUACGCCUUAGUGAUCAUGUGGAGACCCCGUAGAGCAGCAGUAGGGGUGUUAUCUCCCCAGAGAGCCCCGAAGCUGGGUAAGAUUCGCCGGCGUGCAUGCCUUCGCCUAAUCCCGUUUCCUGGCACCGGCGACGUUCUACUCGCUCCCACCAUGAUAAGCCAUCCUUUGGCAUAUGUCGCACCCAACCCCCGACAUUUGGCGCCCACCGUGGGGCGAGGUGCACCGUCGUCCGGAGACCUGCUUUGGAUGGGAACCCUUUUCCUCCCCCGUGAGCGUAGCCAGCCCGGCACGCCCGAUGGCGCUUGCCCUGACGCACUGCAGAGCGUCGACGACGCAUGCGUAGCGAGCUGCCUCGCUGACCUUCUCGGCGAGGUUAGCAUCUUCGACGAGCCUACAUCUGAUGCAGGCACGGGCGGCCCCGAAAGCCUCCUCGCGGGCCUCCUCGACCAUCUCCACGUCACCGGCGAGCCCGCCGUGGACUUGGAGUCCGUAGGCUCCACCGACCCGAUGCUGGUCGACUCCGACGGCGUGUCGCUCGACACAUUCCCCUCCAACGUGGUGAUCUACGAUGAGCCGCUCCCUCGCGAGGCGAGCGGCAGAAGCUCCAUCACGAAAGUGCUCGUCAUCAGUCAUGGCGAGCACUCCGGUGAGGUAGCUCAUGACCCGCUCGACGCGGCUCUGCGAGACCUAAUGGCGCCCAUUCUGGAGGACGCUGACGCCGAGACGCUAGAGGCACGCCGCCUUCAGCUUGUCGAAGGCGCGAAGAAGCUGGCAAGCAUGAGACGCUUGUCGGAGGCCUACCAAUGUGAGAUGGAUCACGCUGUGGGCGGCUCGCCAGCGCCGACUGGGCCUAGCCGCCUAGGCGCGGUCCGACAACGCGGCGCGGCCGUCGCCAACCUGUUCGGGGCCGAUCGCCCCGUAUAUGCCACGCCUGCGGAGAACAUCCGUGCCGCCCAGGCGGCAGCAGACGAGCUAGACAACUUCGAAGGCGAAGAGCGCCGCCUAAUGACCGAGCGAGUCCAGCGACUCCUCAAAGCGGCUGCCGCACAGAACGAAGCCAGCUGCCGCAUGAAGGCGCCACAACAACAAAAUGAGGACUUACCUCCCCACCGAGAUCAAGGUGCGACGUCUCGGACGCCGACUGGCGGAGUCCGCGAAAGAAAAGAGAAGGAUCCGGCUGUCAGCCACAGUCGGACUCGCAUCACCAUCGAGCGCGACCAAGACGGCCGCCCAAGAGCAGUGGAGUGGCAGGGCGACUACCUGCCUCCCCCUCCACGAAGGGAAAGACGAGUCUCCCCGCCGCCUAUCGAGCAUCCGACUCUUGGCGACCGCCUCGGCCGUCGAGAGGGAGUCAGAGAGAAUGACGCUCGCCUCCGGAUCGACCGACCCCAUCGAUCCCUGGCACUGGAAGAAGAAGACGAGCUGGGUCCACCCUGCUUUGGCCCCCGCAUCCGAGAUGAGCCCUUCCCCAAAGGGUUCACGCUCCCCCGAGACACCCCCAAGUACACCGGCUCCAUGAAGCCGGAAGAUUGGCUGGUUGACUACUCCACAGUUGUCAACAUAGUAAACAGCAACAAGCGUGUUGCCGUGAAGUACGUUCCGCUAAUGCUCCAGGGCACGGCCCGGACAUGGUUGAACAGUUUGAAGCCCCGCAGCAUCAACAGUUGGGUCGACUUCACCGAAGCUUUCAUCCGCAACUUCACCAGCACGUACAAGCGGCCUCCCAAGCCACGACAACUCUCCUUGUGCGUGCAAGGCCAAGACGAGUCGACACGCAACUACCUCAUGCGAUGGGGCGAGCUUCGGAACUCCUGCGAGGGCGUGCACGAGGUGCAGGCUAUCGAGUACUUCACCGCCGAGUGCAGAGAAGGCACCCUCCUCAAGCACCGGCUCCUCUAUGACGAGCCCGAGACCCUCGACGAGUUGCUGGUCAUUGCAGACAAGUAUGCCACCGCCGACUCUUCCCGGAAGACAGAGAUUCAAGUUAGUGCGACUGGCAAAGUGGCCCCCCAAGCUCCCAGAACUCCGGUUGGAGAUACCAGUCGGCGACAGCAUUAGAAUGAUCACAAGCGCAAGGCCCCGCAGCCGACUUCUAGCAGUCGGCAGGUCGCGACAGUCGAAGACCAACAGCCUGAGGGGCAGCCUCCGACGAAGCGGCAGAAAGGCGGCAAGUCCAACUGGUUGCCAGCCUUCUCUUACGAGCAGACUCUGGAUGGUCCCUGCAAGUUCCACAGCGGUGCGAAGCCAUCAAACCAUACCACCCAGAAAUGCCACUGGCUCACAAGAAUCGCCAAGGGAGACAACCUCCUUCCUCCUCCGCCUGCUAGGCCGCCGCCUCCACAGCCGCCCUAGCAGCCGGCGGCCAGGCCAGUCGGUGCUGUACAAGAUGAAUACCCCAAAGAACAUGGAGCUUAUGUGGUGUUCACCAGUAUGGCUGAUGAUCGACGCAGCAGAUGGUUGCAGCAGCCAGAAGUAAAUGCAGUAGCAUCAGAUACUCCGGAAUUUAUGCAUUGGUCUGAGAAGCCUAUCAGUUGGAGCAGAGCAGAUCACCCAGAGGUGAUGCCGAAUCCGGGAUCCUACGCCUUGGUUCUGAGUGCAACCUUGGCCACUGAUAGGCGGGCCGCUCGCUUCUCGCGAGUGUUGAUAGACGGAGGCGGCAGCAUCAACAUCCUGUACAAGGAUACCAUGGAGAAAUUAGGGAUCAAGCAGAAACAACUUCAAAGUAGCCGAACUGUUUUCCACGGCAUUGUACCUGGCCUUUCCUGCUCCCCGAUCGGCAAGAUCCAGAUAGACGUCCUCUUCAAGGAUAAAGAUCAUUUUCGCCGAGAGCCAGUAUGGUUUGAAGUGGUGGACCUUGAAAGCCCAUACCAAGCUCUGCUUGGCCGACCUGCCUUAGCCAAGUUCAUGGCGGUCCCCCACUACGCCUACCUCAAGAUGAAGAUGCCGAGUUCAAAGGGGAUUCUGACCGUGGCUGGCGACUACAGGAAGUCGUCCGCCUGCGCGGCCGAGAGCAGUCGGUUGGCCGAGUCCCUGGUGAUCGCAGCUGAAAGGCGGCUCCUUGACCGGGUUGUGGCGAUGGCCGGCAAGCAGCCAGAGAUGUCGCCCGACCCUAAGGAGUCGAAAGCUGAUGGUUCGUUCAAGCCGGCUAAAGAAACCAAGAGGAUACCUUUGGACCCGGAGCACCCGGAGAGGCACGCUGUCAUAGGUGCAAAGCUAGACAGCAAAUAGGAAGGCGAGCUCGUCGAUUUCCUCCACGAGAAUCGAGACAUCUUUGCAUGGUCCCCUAAAGACAUGCCAGGUGUACCGACAGAAUUCGCCGAGCACAAGCUACAUGUCCGAUCUAAUGUGAAGCCCGUCAGGCAGCCCUUGCGCCGCCUGUCAGAAGAGAAAAGAAGAGUUGUUGGGGAAGAGAUAGCCCGACUCCUAACAGUCGGCUUCAUUAUGGAGGUGUUCUUUCUAGAAUGGCUGGCGAACCCGGUCCUAGUGCUGAAGAAGAACAAGCAGUGGAGGAUGUGUAUCGACUACACAAGCCUCAACAAAGCCUGCCCCAAAGAUCUAUUUGCCCUGCCAAGAAUUGACCAGGUGAUAGACUCCACAUCCGGAUGCGAGUUGUUGAGCUUCUUAGACGCAUAUUCAGGAUAUCACCAGAUCAAGCUGAACCCAGCGGAGAGACUGAAGACUGCCUUCAUCACGCCGUUUGGAGCCUUCUGCUACCUGACUAUGACGUUCGGCUUGAGGAAUGCCGACGCCACCUUUCAGCGUUGCAUGCAGAAGUGUCUCCUCAAGCAACUCGGCAGAAAUGCCCACGUCUACGUGGAUGAUGUGGUAGUGAAGACGGAAAAGCGGGGAACAUUGUUGGAAGAUCUCCAAGAAACCUUUGAGAAUCUGCGCCGAUUCCAGAUCAAGCUCAAUCCGGAGAAGUGCGUCUUUGGAGUGCCAGCUGGCCAGCUCCUUGGCUUCCUGGUCUCUGAACGCGGCAUAGAGUGCAACCCUGUAAAGAUCAAAGCCAUCGAGAGAAUGGAAGUCCCCCGCCGACUAUUAGAUGUGCAGAAGUUCACCGGCUGCCUGGCUUCCAUUAGCCGAUUCAUCAGUCGGCUGGGCGAGAAGGCUCUCCCUUUGUACCAACUGAUGAAGAAGGCCACCUUUUUUGAGUGGAACCACAAGGCGGAUGAAGCAUUUCUUGAGCUGAAGAAAAUGUUGACUACUCCCCCUGUGCUGGCGGCUCCGACUCCCAAAGAGCAUAUGCUCCUAUACAUUGCCGCCACCAGCCGGGUAGUCAGCACAGUUGUCGUAGUGGAGCGCAAGGAGGAAGGCAAGGCGCUCCCUGUCCAGAGACCGGUAUAUUACCUGAGUGAGGUAUUGUCGACCUCCAAGCAGAACUACCCCCACUACCAGAAGAUGUGCUACGGCGUGCAUUUUGCCGCCAAGAAGUUGAAGCCUUACUUUCAAGAGCAUCCAAUCACUAUGGUUUGCACCGCUCCACUGGCCGAGAUCAUCGGAAGCCGUGAUGCUUCAGGCCGAGUAGCCAAGUGGGCCAUAGAUUUGGCUCCCUACACCAUCUACUACCAGCCCCGCACCGCCAUCAAGUCACAAGCACUGGCCGACUUCCUUGUCGACUGGGCCGAGACCCAGUACCUGCCGCCAGCACCUGACUCCACCCAUUGGCGAAUGCAUUUCGAUGGCUCCAAGAUGCGCACCGGCCUGGGAGCCGGCGUCGUCCUCACCUCCCCCAAAGGCGACAAGCUCAAGGACGCACUGCAGAUCCACUUCGCCACCUCCAACAAUGUUGCCGAAUACGAGGCGCUCGUUCACGGGCUCCGGCUUGCCAAAGAACUCGGCAUCCGCCGGAUCCUGUGCUACGGCGACUCUUUGGUGGUCCAGCAGUCAUCCGGCGACUGGGACGCCAAAGACGCAAACAUGGCGAGCUACCGCUUCCUGGUGCAGCAACUCAGCGGAUAUUUCAAGGGGUGUGAAUUCCUUCACAUUCCAAGAAAUGACAAUGACCAAGCGGACGCCCUGGCAUGAGUCGGCUCCACCCGUCAAGCAAUACCAUCCGGCGUCGCCCUUCAGCGCCUCCUCAAGCCGUCUAUCAAGCCUUCGCCAAAAUCAGACUCCAUUUUUGUGCCAGCUCCCCCCGAAGAAGUCGGAUCCGACUCAAGAGCACCAGUAGACGGCUCCAAAAAUACCGCAGUCAAAGCCGGCCCGGGGACUUCAGACCCCGGCCCGGGGACUGCGACAGUCAGCCUGAAGACUCCAGAACUCGGCCCGGGGACUUCUCCAGUCGGCCCGGGGACUUCAUCGACCCAGCAAGCGGCCGCGGAUCCCAGCCCGCCGCCUCCCAGCCCAGCCACCCUUGUCCAAGUCGCAAUAGUGGCAAUCGAAGAAGUAGCAGCACCCUCAUGGGCCCAGCCCAUCCUCAAGUUCCUAGUAAACAGAGAGCUGCCGGCUGAUGAAAUCCUGGCUCGGCAAGUGCAACGCUGAGCGGCAGCCUAUACCAUAGUCAACAGAGAGCUGGUCAGGCACAGUGUCACUGGUGUCUACCGACGCUGUGUCGAGGCAGCACAAGGCCAGGCAAUUCUCAAAGACAUCCAUGAAGGCGAGUGUGGCCAUCAUGCGGCUUCAAGGGCACUCGUCACCAAAGCCUUCCGACAUGGAUUCUUCUGGCCGACUGCCCUGGAAGAAGCCAACGAAUUAGUCCAAAACUGCAAAGGGUGCCAGAUGUUCCGUUCCAAGCCGCUCCAGCCGGCUUCGGCGCUCAAGACCAUUCCCAUCGCCUGGCCCUUUGCGGUUUGAGGCCUGGACAUGGUGGGACCAUUCAAGACGGCACGAGGUGGCCUAACUCACCUACUUGUCGCAGUGGACAAGUUCACCAAGUGGAUAGAAGCAAAACCCAUCACGAAAUUGAAUGGUCCGACUGUUGUAACCUUCAUCGCCGACAUUAUGACUCGGUACGGCAUACCACAUAGCAUCAUCACCGACAAUGGCACAAAUUUUGCCAAAGGAGCCUUGGCCCCUUUCUGCGCUACACAGGGCAUCUGACUGGACUUAGCGUCCGUCGCCCAUCCGCAGUCAAACGGCCAGGUAGAGCGACCAAACGGCCUCAUCCUAUCCAGCAUCAAGCCCCGCCUGGUUGAACCACUGGAGCGCUCGGCCGGAUGUUGGCUCGAGGAGCUGCCAUCCAUCCUCUGGAGUCUGCGCACGACUCCAAACAAGUCAACCGGCUUCACGCCUUUCUUCCUCGUCUACGGUGCUGAAGUCGUCAUCCCGACGGACAUAGAAUUCGACUCCCCGCGAGUCACCAUGUACACCGAGGAGGAAGCAGAAGAAGCACGUCAAGACGGCGUCGAUCUUCUGGAAGAGGGCCGGCUGUUGGCACUUAGUCGGUCCGGCAUCUACCAGCAGAGCCUGCGCCGAUACUACAACAGGAAGGUCAAGCCAAGAUCUUUCCAAGAGGGUGACCUUGUGCUCCGACUGAUCCAGCGGACAGCCGGCCAGCACAAGCUGUCGGCACCUUGGGAAGGCCCCUUUAUUGUCAGCAAGGUGUUGGGCAAUGACUCCUACUACCUGAUCGAUGCUCGGAAGCCCCGAUCUCGCAAGCGAGACGACUCCGGCAAAGAGUCGGAACGACCAUGGAACGCAAACCUCCUCCGAAGGUUAUACAGUUGAUUCAGUAUGUAUCACACUACCCCUUUGUAUUAAAGUACCGAGACUUCGGGCCCCCCGAGACGAGCUCGGGGACUGCCCCUUUUGAUUACCUGUAUGAUAAGAAUUAUGCCUUCAAGUAUGCUACUUUUUGCUACGCCGCUUGGUGCCGGGUUCGACUAGUCGGCCCGGGGAUUCGCCGUCUAGCGCUAUGAAAUGUUUCCUGAAGUCGAACAAGUAGUGUGCGGCGCCUAAGCCGUCUCCUACUAGAAGUCGCAGCUCACAGAGCGACUGUUUGGUAAACAGGAGCAAGGAUGAAUGGGCGUCCACACGAAAAAUGGCUAAGGACCCAAAACAUCAACAUAGCUUAAGCCGGUUUCCAGCCCCCCUUUCUUACAAGCCGACUCACGAGUAUUCGUCUUACUGCUUUCUAUCCGACUUGUUAAAUAAACUCCAAAGAAAGGCAAGUACUUGCUUUCCCCAGAGUAGCCAGGCAUUUGGCCCAGCGGCAGUCCGCAGAGCGGUCUGCCGGCUGGCAAAGCGGCAACUAGGGGAAGGCGGCAAAGGAAAAAGCCAAAGGAGCAAUGAGCAAGGAAAGAUAGGACUUGGAUUAAUAUUUACAUAAGCAUAGGCCCAUUGGCUGAAUCUUCAGACAGAAGUUUAAAAUACACCCCGAGGGUGGAAUUGUGCAAAUUAACAAGUUCAUCAAAGACCUUCUAGAACAGAAAAUAAAGCCAGAAGGCAGCCUAAGGAGCAGCAGACGGGUUCAGAUGGUUGGAGGAGACGGCGGUGUCAGGCGCCGGGGCAGUCGGCUGGGCAGUCUCGGCUUGAUCGCCGCCAGCGGCAGUUGGCCCGGUCGGACACGGCUCGUUGCUAGAGGCGCGGUCGAGCUGAGGCUGGUUGUCCGCUCCGCCUUCUGGCACCUCUGUCUCGCCUUCGUCCUCCGCCUCGCCUUCUUCCUCGGUGCUGGAGUCAAUCACCUCCGCCGACUCCUCGCCAUAUUUCGGGUUCAUCCCGAACCACUCUGGCGGCACUUCCUCGCCGCCUUCAGCCCGCUCGGGGACGAAGACACUGGUGUCUGUGUACUCGGCGAUGGCCGCCGCAUGCUUGAUAAGGGCGCCCUCCACAGCCUUCAGCUUGCCCUGGGCCUCUGACCGAAAUGCGGCCAGACGGUCCAGGUCCAGCCCUGGAUACCACGCCUUGACGAACUCCAAGGCCCGGCGCGAUCCGGCCCGGGCCGAGGAACCCUUCCAAGCUUCAAGACGGCCGGCGGCGACUUCCAGCCAGUCGGCGGUCCGACUGGCAGUGCGCAGAGCCGGCAUGUCUGGCCACAGAGCGGCAACCGCCUGGGCGCCGGCAUGCUGAAGCCAGCGCAUCCGCCGGUGGGCCGGACGAAGACAGGCCUCGAUGCUCAGAAGCUGCUCAUCGAUGGUCAAGGGAGCGUUGGCGGCAAUCACCUCACCGUUUUCCCUUUGCGCCUCACGAUCAGCCUCGAUGGCCAGAGGGACUGCCUGCGAGUGGCCAGGGAAGAAGUCUGCCAAGACAAAAAAGAAGCAAGUCGAAAAAUUAGAAGUCAGCCUGACACAUAGUCGGAAAUUCAAAGAAAGAAAGCUCAUCAUCGACGAUAUCCUCAAUCUCGUGGAAGCCGAAAGUCAGCAUUGCCUCCCUAUCGGUCCAGGAGGAGCGUUCGCUCUCGAACUCGGCCAGGAGAGCGGCCUCCUUCUUCUUGGCCUCGUCCUGCGCCUUCUUGAGCAGCUCCUUCUGCUCGGCCAGCUGCGAAGUAAGCAGAUCGCGCUCCGCAGCGAGUUUGCUGCACUCCUCCCCCUUGGCGCGCAAGGCGGUGUUAACUUCACCCAGCUGCCCCUGAAGAGUAGCAUUGGCCCCUGAAACACGAAAGAAAGAGACAAAUAAGUCGUCAAGCAAAGAAGGGCGCCGGGAAGAUCCGGCCCGGCUGCUCAGCAGUUGGCCCGAAUCUCGGGGACUACAGCCCGUGGGUGCGCCAGCGCGCCCCCACGAAGAAAGAAGAACAAGAAAGGAAACAUUGAAGUCGUCAACAAAGAAGAUCACCGUGAAGAUCCGGCCCGACUGCUUAGCAGUCGGCCUGAAUCUCGGGGACUACAGCCCGCGGGUGCGCCAGCGCGCCCCCGCGAAGAAGAGAGGGAAAAGAACUUACUCCGGCUCUCCGUCAAGUCGGCAGUCCGCUUGCUCAACUCCUCCACAUUGCGGUUGAAGGCAGUAGCGCGGAGGUUGUGAUACUCCUGCAAACAACGAUGUCAGACAAAAUAAGUACUUGGAACUCGCCAAAGGGAGUUCCGAGCCGCCUGCUCAGCAGCCGGCCCGAAACUCGGGGACUACACCCAGUGGGUGCGCUGGCGCGCCCCCACAGAGAAAAACAAGAAUAAAAAGGAAGAAGGAAACGUACUCGGACGACCGUCCGCGCUGCCAGAUGCGCCCUGGUGCAAGUUUGAAGGGCGUCGCCUUCAGCGCGCAGCUUCGCCUGAACGUCCAGAAGCGCUUGAUUCAGCGGCCCAGUGCCGCCUCCGCGCAACCACCCGAUGGGCGCGGCGCUUAUUGCCUCAGCGUCUAGGGCUGCCGAGCUGGCAGCACCGGUAUCCCGAGGUCGCGGCGCCGAGGUCGCCCUCUCAAGAUGGUGGCGCACCGGCGAGGCGACUUGGAGAAGCAGCCUCGCAUCGGACUCGUCCGCGGUCUGUGGCUCCGGCGGACCCGCCGGUUGUUUGCCGUGCGGUCUCCCAGACGGCGGCGGAGGCGGCGGUGGCGGCACGAGAGUGUCCGACAUGGAGGCCUCACCGCUCUCCUUCUCCACGACGGGGUUCUCGGUGCCGGCCUCUCUAGUCGGCCCCGUGAACUCUGGAGGCGGCGGCGCAGAGGAUAGUGGGGGGACGAGCAUCGCCGAUCGGCAACGCGUGGCCUCCUCGGCUCGCCGACUCGCCGCAAGGGCGGCUUCGGCAUCCUCCAGCUUCUUCUGGGCGGAGGCGGCCGCCUUCUCGGUCUCCGCCUUCUCCAGACGGUCGGCCUCCUCCUCGUUGCGCUUCUCCCGUGCGUUUUGCUCCGUCACCUCCCGGAGGUCGGUAGCGGGGUCGAUCCGCCGAGUAUUGGCGGACGUCUCCGCCAACCCCAUGACGGAGGGGACGGCGACUGUCUCAAGGGAAAGAGGGGCCCUGAAGAAGAAUAGGAGGAGUAUAAAAGAAGACUCGGACAAGAUUCACCAAAGGAAAAUAAAAAAGCGUAAAGACUUACGCAGAGACUAGCGGCGGCCUUCUCACUUCCCUAAGGAAGCAGUUGGCCUUCGCGGCCGCCUCCUCCCGUUUGGUCGCGGCGGCCGCCCCCUUGAACUUCUUCAAUUUGCCGCCGGGCGCACUCGGCCCGGCGUGACGCCUCUUCACACCGCCUUGGCUAGCCAGGCCAACGGAGGAGCCGGCACCCGACGAGCCGACCCUUGGCUGGUGGCGCGGGGCGACUUCCCCUUCGGCGUCGUCAUCGGGCCAGUCAGCGAAGGUGGCCGAGGGCCUGAAGCCGCCUACCGCUCCUCCUCCCCCGCCUUCGGUGUCGGCCUCCAUCGCUGCCGCCCCCAAGUCGGGGUCGUCGACGUCGCUCUCCGCACGAUCGGGGACGAACUCGUGGGGCUGUCUCAUGGCGCCGGCUGCAGGCUGCAUGAGGGGGUUCUAGUUCAGAAGAAACCAACGAGAAUCAGAAACCGGAUUCGGCCGCAAAGAAGACAAAGCAGUAAGGAAAUGCGACUUACCACUUGUGGGGGGUCGUCGCGCGAGUACGGCUCUUUGCCGAACUGCCAGUCCUCCCCGAACUCGCAGUUCGCGAUAUGAUUCACCAUGUUUGCCACCUCCGCACGGGGCAUCUCCUUGGUGCUCAUCCGACUUGGGUCUCGG
rnacentral:lncRNA from 1 species